GCUGCUCCUGCUGCAGUUGCUAGAUCCAUCAUCGGUCAUGCAUGCACCGCGUGCAUCAUAUCUUUGAUCGAUCCAUCCAUCUACUUACCAUGUAACGCUACCUGAUCGAGGGUCUUUGUAUGUAUGUACGCACCUGCCUGCAUGAGCAGAGCAGGUGCCAUGCCAUGCAUGUAAACCCCUAAAUAAAAUCUCCCGUGGUUUAACCUAUAUAAAUGCGUUUGUGUUAUAGACCAGCUUCUGGCCCACGUUUACUAUCAACUUGCAAGGUGCCUGGGUUGUUAAUAGACCAGCUGAAUGAGCUUCAGGUGCUACAUUCGUGAAAAGGACUCGUGGUUUAUAACGCAUAUUGUAGCCUACUAGCCACAUAUCAGCUGCGCUCAAUAUGCAGGAUUUCCAUUGGAUCAGAUCUUUCGCUUUGACGAAUUUGGACCUAGCGAAAAGGAUUCUUAAGCCUUCGCGCAAACAAGCAAAGUAGAAGCAAGACGAGGAAGUGGAGCUGUCGUAGAAGCAGUAGCUUCCCCCGACAAUAUACAAUACAACAGUAGCGACCAUGAAUAAAAAAGCCCCUUGUUUAACGAGUUCGCUGCUUUUCCCAGGCCGGAGAAGGGCAACUACUUAUUGAUUGAUCGCCUUUCUUUGAUAUGUGUUCAAUUUAGUAUAAUACAAACUACAACUAGAUCAAUGCGGAAGGGCCACUCACUAUAGAAGCUAUAACUAGAAAAGCCCUAGCCAAUAGUUUAGUAGUCGGCCAAACCCCCAUGCUCACGACAUGUUCUUGAUAUUGAUUGAGUUGGAGAGAGUCAGAGACUACCACGGAAUCCUUCCAUAGUCACCCCGGUGACCUUCGUCACCAAAGCGUCACAACAGUUUCCAAGACCCCUCAUAUAAUCUCCAGUGGGGAUCAGUCGGAGCACAUAAGAAUGCCGACCACUACAUAAGCCGCUGGCGGAGAAAGCUCGAAGAGCUUCCCUUCAUUCGCUUCGCGGGAGUCGCACACAGCACAUAGCUGGAAGUCAGAGGGCCCGUACUACCUGCCUAACCCUUCGCUCUGAGGGACCGUAGAACGGAAAGCGCCUUCUAAACAACUCGGCAGAAGGGAAGGGGCCUAUGUAUUUGCAUGACCCCUGCGGAUUUGACCCUACCUACACCCGGAGCCAACCCCCUAGCGGUCCUGCCACCACGCCGCAGAACAGGAGCUCGUGUGGAACCUUGGAUUUCUGGCAUAACAGUGAUGGAAGGUAUCAAAAUAUUACGGCUGCAUAACCAUAACAUAGUAUAUACGCUAAGGUCGGCCAAAAUAUGGACACCCGAAGGGCCCGGCGCGCACAAUCCUAUCCUAUCCGAGCCCGUCAUUGCAUGCACUUCGGACAGCCGUCCGUAGCAUCAUAAGGAGCACCUCCCUUUCGAGGUACCCAAAUGGAACGGUCUUUAUUUGUGUUGUUGGUUGAUCUUUCUCAACGUGGUCUAUAGCACGAAUAACCAUUCUUUACAAGAUAGGGCCGUUCACAUGAAAGAAAAUACAAAAUCCAUUCUUCAUGGUCAGACGCAUUUCUCCAAAUCCUCCAGGAUCACAAGUGGAACGCUAAGCAAGGGUGGGGAGGCUGCGAGCUCUGCGUCGAACAGAAAGAACCAAGCAGGGGGUGUUGCCGUAGCGCGACGGAGAGCAAGCGUAGGCAACCAAACUAAAUAAGGCUACAAAAGUAGCUAGCUAGCGUUUUUAAGCUAGCUGCCUUUUCUAGCGCGCGUACUCUUCUGUGGAGUCGCAAGGAACGAGCCUUGUCUUCCCUCCAACGACUAGCUCCCUUUUCUUAUUUCGGUCACCCUUCUCUUGUCGUGGAAGGACUUUUGCUUGUGGUGUGGUCCAACCCGUGGACGGAGUCGUCCUCAUCCCCCCAUUGCUCAGUGCUCCCUGCAGCUUCGCUGGGCUUUACCCGCGUGGGCGCGGGCUUCUAUAAGAGAAUGAAAAGCUCUCUUUUUACAAUAAAAUGCGAACCACACGGAGCCCACCCUUUUUCGUUUUUUGCCGCCACUGGGUGGCCACAGGGGAAACACAUCCCGGCCGCCUCUCGGGAAAGGGGGGUGGGCCUACCUAUCCCGAGGGAGCAGCUGAGAGGUUCAAUAUGCCGAGCCGAAGGGCAGAACUUCAAUGUGUGAUCAUAGUAUGUCACCUCGUCUCGUCCUCGCAGCAUCGAAGAGUACCUAUGCACUAUGUUCGGUUCACUGAUAAGGAAGAUAGAGUUGGGGUGGGGGUCUACGAUGUGAUUCUAUAGUAUGCCCCGGGGAGAAAGAUGCACAACUCAAAACGGAAGCAGGAAGCGUGUUGUCAAAAAUGUUGGAGGUUACCGGAUCUCCGAGACUACUAUCGAUCCGACAGAGCGGAACGACCAGAAAAAGAAGUGGAGUUAGAAAGCCGUAUGAUAGGUGGUAACUAUCUUGUACGGUUCGGGGGGUAAGCGGCGUACUCUGGGGGAAUAUUAGGCUCUAUCGACCAUACAGGGAAUUGGAGGUAGCAUUUUACUUAUGUUAAGUCAUGGACUGGUUUCUUCAGCCCUUUUUCUAUGUGUUGGUGUUCUAUAUGACCGACAUAAACUCGACUUGUGAGAUAUUAUGGAGGUUUAGUGAGCACCAUGCGGAAUUUCUCUACCAUUUUCUUAUUUUUCACUUUAGCCAAUAUGAGUUUACCUGGCACUAGCAGCUUUAUCGGGGAAUUUCUAAUCUUAGUAGGAGCUUUCCAAAGAAAUGGCUUAGUAGCCACAUUAGCUGCGCUUGGGAUGAUUUUAGGCGCAACAUAUUCCCUUUGGCUAUAUAAUCGUGUGGUUUCUAGAAAUUUAAAACCCGAUUUCCUCUAUAAAUUCUCCGAUCUAAUUGGUAGAGAAGUUUCCAUAUUUCUACCUUUUCUUGUUGGAGGGGCGACCGUCCGUUGAACUACCAAAAAAUGGUAAACCAAUGUGAUCAUGACAUUGUAGGUGCUUGCGAUGGGACGGAUGUGACUUCCCUCAUAAGUAAUGGGUGGCAUAGCUCGUAGCAGAAGUCCCCUUUUUUAUCCAUUUCUUUAUUACCCCAGAGGGGCCAAGCCUUGCGGGACCGAGAGAAAGAAAGGACGGGGGGCGACCAUGCAUGGCACUUCUCGACCGUGUCUCCGAGGAACAGUUGAACGAGCGACUCAUGAAUGCUACCGGGUCGGACGAGCCAAUAACUCGAACGUGUUCGGUCAUUUUUUUGAGAAAGAAUCACAGUGUUACCUUACCUUCACCAUGAUACGGACUCCAAGUUCUUAUGGCAGAGCACGAGGAGUUUCCUUCAAUAUGAUGAUGAGAGUGGAAACCAGAAGCACGACUGGGUCUUCGUAGUCCGAGAUCAUACUUAUAUAUCAGUCACAGUAAUGUAAGCAUGAGAAUUUUUGGUAGUACCGGUGAACCAGAUGGCCACAGCGAGGGAAUCUGGGACGGAGGACUCGUAAUAUCUCUAUAGAUCUGGCAAAAGCGAAAGACCCUAACAUCAGGGGCUGACCAAUGAGCUCACUCAGGCCCCGCUGGGCGGUCCAGAGUGGGUGCGAGCUGGAAUUGCCAUAGCUUAUGGUUAGAGCAAUAGGAAAGGGCCCGGCAGAGAGAACAGUCAGGAUAACGAGCGUGGAGCCCACUUGGCAGGCGGCAGGAGCAGCGGGCAAGUGCUUGCUUGGUAGGCCAACAGCCCUGUGAACCGGGCGGGGCACUCGACGAAAGGGGGGCAUGCUGAGCAAGUACGCAAAAUUGGCCCUGUGGAGCUUUCAAAAAGAAAAGCAAGGACCACUACGGGAGGUCGAACCACGGACCGGAGGUAGUAGAACGUAAUCCGCACCGGUCAAUAUUGGAUCAAACAAUAGGGGACCGUAGCACUGACCUUUUUUUCAAGACAAUAGGUAUUGUUCCCUACCAACACAAGGGACACUCUCGACGGAUCCUCCACGCGCUGGGCAUACCAUAGUUCUUCCGUUCGUCUUUAUCAUGGCGGAAACAGAACAAGAGGGAAAGACCCGGCCGACUCACCAAGGGCUCGAGGGCGAGCCAUACGAGAGUGAGUCGAAUUCUGUUUACGUACUCGGUUUGGGUUCGGUCCCCUCUCGAUCUUUUGUGUAUAAGGGAAGGGGGAAGGAGUCUAAAUCUAUGGACAUUAAUGAACCACCAUUGAUGGACGUUGCACAUGACACAAGAAAUUUGACUCGACGAUCCGGUGCUAAUAGAAGUCGCUUACUCUCCGCCUAGCGAAGGUGCCAGAUCCUUAAAGUAAAGUAUCUAUCAGCCUAGUGUACCAACCACGUGGUAUGACGGGCACUCAAAGACCUGACGAAUGAGGGGCCACCCCACCUAAGAGCGCUUAUGUCAUAUGGGAACUCUCGGCUGGAAACAAUCCUUAUGGUUUUUAUAUCCGGUUAGAAUAAUAAGAAAGAAUCAAAGUCCAUGUUGGUUGGUGAGCCUAGUGAUAGGACACUAUCUAGCUUGGUUCGGAGAGCACUUGUUGGGUUUCAGAUUCGUUUUUUGCUAAAUGUUACGGCCCAAAUGCUGAACUAUUGACCCUACUUGUUCGGAUGGGUGUUCACCCCAAAGUGUUCCCGGACUGCAUGCAUACAUCCUUAAGUAACUUAGUGCAACAUGGCAAAUUUCAUUGAGAAGAAUCAGCAAACAAAAUAAAUCUUCUCCGGGUGACAGGGCCGCUUCGUUAAUAGAUCAUGCAUAUUGUCGAGUUUUGUGUUUUAUAGCGCAAGAUUUUGUUUUUACAAAAGGUGGAUCCCAACAAGACACGAUGGUAUGCGUAUCUUGUAGUCUAUCUGUCUUCUUGAGAAAAUACAUUAAUGUCUCAUGGUGUAGUAGGUUAUCACGUCAGUCUAACACACUACAUGGCGAAGCCAAAUUGUUAUUGUUUUUUUUCCUGCAAAACUACAAAAUGCACCAAUAAAUCUUUGUCAUUUGCUAGUUUCCCAUUCUCGCGACUCUUAAUAUGAAGCCCAUGAAGACAUUAAAGAUAGCGGUGGACAGCUAAGGGCCUAAGGCCCAAGGGCGACUUAGUGCCCGUAGGUAUAAACCGCCAUAUAUGUAAAACGUGUAUUGUAAGGCAUGUAAAGAUAGUCACUGAGUCGGACACGUUGUCUAUGAGCCAUCCGGGACUCUAUGAUCCGCUGGGCGUCGACCUGUCUAUAUAAAGGGACGACCCGGCGGCGGUUCAGGACAAGAAACAAGAGAUCGAAAGCUAGGUCAAGCAGAUUUGCUCCCUGAUAAUCGAGACAUAAGCAAUGCCACCCAAAAACUGGAUUGUAGGCUUUUACCUUCACCAUAAGGGGCCGAACCAGUAUAAACCCUGUGUCCUUUGUCCCAUUUAACCCCUUUAAGCUAACCUAGAGGCGAUGGCUCCACGACUAAGUCCUUUCACGAGGACAUUUGUCGUGACUAUUCCACGACAGCUCUCCUCCCGAUGAGCACGUGCAGGGGUCUGAUUGCAUGCCUCCCGUAAUCAAAUAGCUACCCCACAUGGCACCUCCUAGCCAAUAAAAAAAGGGACGCGUGGUGGCACGUCAUUGGUAAGUAGAACGCCCACGGUUUCAAUAAUAGUUGUGUUUCCGAUUUGUAACGUGACAACACUUGUUCCAAAAUGACUUUGUUGAUUUUUAAUGUGUGCGUCUUCGCAAAUCGGACAGAAAAAUUACCACAGCAUGUUGGUGCCAUGUCAUGACACCAUGCCAAGUUUCAUGAUUUUCAGGCAUGUUUUGGACACCAUGCCAAGUUUCAUGAUUUUCAGACGUGAUUUUCAUGCAUGUUUUGGACACCAUGCCAAGUUUCAUGAUUUACCGCAGAAUGUUGGUGUCAUCAUGACACCAUGCCAAGUUCCAUUAGUGCCGGUUCCAACGGCUAGCCGGGAGGAGCUCUUUAGUACCGGUUCGUGGCAAACCUUUAGCACCGGUUCGUGCCACGAACCGGUACUAAUGAGAGUGGUGGCAGGAUCAUGUCAGAGUGGGGCCCUUCCAGCACCUUUAGUAUCGGUUCGUGGCACGAACCGGUACUAAAGGUCGUCCUAUAUAAACCCUUCGUCCACCCGCACUCUGUUCUUCCCCCUUUCCCCUCUCCCUCUCCUCUAUUCUUCCCUUCUUCCUCUCGAGUUCAUCACAAAAUUUGCCCCAAAUUUGUCAAGAUUUGCAGGCCCUCAUCCAUUCAAAUGAUCACCAAGGUUAGCAACUUUGUCCUUUCAUCUCUCAUUGCUAGAUUAGCUCUUGCAUUGGUUUAUAUAGUGAUUAAUUGUGGGUUUUAGUAAUUUGGGAGGAAUAAUAUGUGGUAGUAUUUGAUUUAUAUGCAAUUUGAGUUCAAAAUAACACUUAGUUUGCAUAUGUAGGUGUGGUUUACUUAGUGCCUUCUAAAUCUCCGUCGUAACCACCGUCGAUCGCCCACACCAUCCCGUCGCCGGCACCACCUUGUGGUGAGCCUCUUGUUCAUGAAAUUUUAUAUAAAAAAUUGAUGUUUGUGUGAUUUGGAUAUAUAGUUACUCGUAUAAUAAUUAUCUUGCAUGUACGUUGUCUGUUAUACAUAGUGCCAUGGUUUUGAUAUCCGUCCCCGUCGGCCCUCGUCCUUGUUAUGAUUCGGAUGUGUUAUAUUCUCUUUUAAAACUAUUUGUUGCAUUUCGUGUUUAUGACAAAUUAUGCCCAUCAAGUUGACAUAGAUAUUUUUAUCUAGGAGGUAUGUGAACCGGAAAUUCCAACCGACCCUAUUGUCUAGAGGUUAAAUUUAGUUGGAAGAGAAAACGAGUACUUGAAAGAAAAUUUGAAAAGAAUUGAGGGAGAGAAGAUGGAAUUAGAGUUGCAUGUUGCCGAUGUCGUCGAUGAUCACAAGAUCAAGAUGGAGAAAAUGCGCUUGAAGAUUAGAAAGAUUAGAAAAUAUGCCAUCGAUAGUGAGGCUUGGUAUCAUUAUGCUGUUGGAUCAAUUGUUACCUUAGUUGCGAUCUUGAUCGCAUUUGUUGUUGCAUUUAAAUGCUUUAGCUGGAGAGUUAUUUGUUUGUUGCAUUUAAGUGUUGUAUGAACUUGUAUUAAUUUGGUCUAUUCGGUGUUGUGUAAUGAAGAUGAGCCGGCAAUGGAUGUACGAUGACCGAUGCUCUCCCCAGUUCAUUGAGGGCGUGCAUACUUUUCUGCUUGUGGCUGAGGCAAACAAGCGGGCGGAUGGUUUUAUGCCUUGUCCAUGUGCUGGCUGUAAGAAUGGUCGCAAUUACUCUACGUCAAGAACCAUUCACGUCCACCUGUUUGAGUCCGGUUUCAUGCCCCACUAUAAUGUUUGGACCAAGCAUGGAGAAAGAGGGGUCAUGAUGGAAGACAAUGAAGAAGAAGAGGACGACGACAGCUAUCCUGGCCAUGGGUUCCCUGAAUACGAUGAUACAACAAUGGGGGAAGAAGCUGAGCCGGUAAUGCGGGAAGAAGCUGAGCCGGCAAUGCGGGAAGAAGCUGAAGAAGAGGCAUCAGAUGAGCCCGUUGAUGAUCUAGGUCGGGCCAUUGCCGAUGCAAAGAGAAACUGCGCAAGUGAUUUGGAGAAGAAGAAGUUGCAGCGCAUGUUAGAGGAUCACAAAAAAUUGUUGUACCCGAAUUGCGUAGGUGACAAGAAAAAGCUGGGCACCACACUGGAAUUGCUGCAAUGGAAGGCAGAGAAUGGUGUAUCUGACAAGGGAUUUGGAAAGUUGCUGGUAAUGAUAAAGGAUAUGCUUCCAAAGGACAACGAAUUGUCCGAGAGUACAUACGAAGCAAAGAAGGCUGCCUGCCCUCUAGGGUUAGAGGUGCAGAAGAUACAUGCAUGCCCUAAUGAUUGCAUCCUCUACCACGGUGAGCACGAGGAUUUGAACGCUUGCCCGGUAUGUGGUGCAUUGCGCUAUAAGAUCAGCCGCGAUGAGCAUGGUGAUGUCGAGGGCGAGCGCCCCAGGAAGAAGAUUCCUGCCAAGGUGAUGUGGUAUUCUCCUAUAAUACCAUGGUUGAAACGUUUGUUCCAAAACAAAGAGCAUGCCAAGGCGAUGCGAUGGCACAGAGAAGACCGUAAGAAAGACGGAAAGUUGAGAGUACCCGCUGACGGGUCGCAGUGGAGAAAAAUCGAAAGAAAGUACGGGAAGGAGUUUGCAGAUGACGCAAGGAGCGUAUGUUUGGUCUAAGCGCAGAUGGCAUUAAUCCUUUUGGGGAGCAGAGCAGCAACCAUAGCACCUGGCCUGUGACUCUAUGUUUGUAUAACCUUCCUCCUUGGUUGUGCAUGAAGAGGAAGUUCAUCAUGAUGCCAGUGCUCAUCCAAGGCCCUAAGCAACCCGGCAACGACAUUGAUGUGUACCUAAGGCCAUUAGCUGAGGCAAACAAGCGGGCGGAUAGCACCAACCCAUCCAUGCCGAGAAGAAGCGUGGGUUCGGCCGCCCCGGACGAUGCAAUGCUGGGUAGAUACCCCGUGGAUGACAUCACGGAGAACACUAACUGCGAGCUACACGUCAAAAUAACGAACAUAUCCAUCAAGGUGGCGGACGCCGUUGCUUUUACAAAUCCCCCCGAGGCAACCUUCCAUUGCAACCCGAUUCCAGCGGGCUAUGCUCGUGUCUUGGUUGAUGAGGUGGUGGACCCACCAUAUUCGGAGCUACAGCUUGACAUUCCUGGAGGUGACGACGAGCACUUUCUCGGAGAGGCCAAACAUCGUAUCAUCCUAUGGAAAAAGGAUUGUAUCAUCUUUCGAAGGCCACCGACACCGCGUCAGCUGACUCCUCGUCGAAGUCCGCCACCGAGUCAGCAGUCUCCCGCUCCUGCAAGUCCACCAAGUCCGGCAAAGUGUCAGGCCACUCCUCCUCCAAGUCAGGCAAAGUGUCAGGCCACUCCUCCUCCUCCAAGUCCGCCACAGCGUCAGACGUCCACUCCUCCUCCAAGUCCGGCACAACCUCAGGCCACUCCUCCUCCAAGUCCGGCACAGCUUCAGGCGGCCACUCCUCGUCCAACUCAGUUCCGUCAGCCGUCUCCGCCGCCUCAGCAAUCGCAGAAGAGAUACCCCGCAGCUAUGGUGCGUAGCGGUACGAGUCGAGGUAGUACAGGAAGUACAGGGGGAGGCAAGCGAUAUAAAUAUGGUCCAAGCCUCACACCUCUUCAGCAGAGGGCUUAUGACAGGUCCGAGGAGGAAAUCUCAGCCAUAUCGAAGGCCGAGGUGGAAGUCCAUUUUGCACCGAAACCGCCACCGCCGCCAAGGGAGAAAGUGCCUGAGGAAACGAUUGACCACUUCAUUCGUAUGGCUCAACCACCAGCUCCCAAGCCUGUUGACACAGACUAUGAGCGCCACAUCAGGAAGUUAAAUCGAGCACGUCUACGUCAGGAGGCGAGCUCGGGAUCGAGCAAACAAGAAGCAGCUGUCAAAAAAUGCGGGAAAACCAUUCCCCAGCUGGGAGAACAGGCGGCGCAAUCGAUCCCCUCACUUGUUGUGCCAACAACACAUGACAGUAUGCGCGCCCAAUAUUAUCGUGGGCAAACAGUUUACGUUCCUGAGGUGGGCAAUGUGGUAAUAACGGAGGAGCAUAUAAUGCAGGCUGAAGUUCUCAAAAUCACUGUUGGACAACUCCUCGAGAUCGAGCCCAUGCCUGUGCUUAGAGAGGAUGAAAUAAAACGGAAAUAUGUCCGGGGCCAACCUUUGGUCGAGCCAGACAAGGUCAAGAACCUCCCAACGAGAAUGUAUGAAUUGCAUCAAUGGUACAUGAACAUUACCAAGAUUUCAGAUCGAUUGUCCCUCAUGGUGAAUGUCAAGGAGGAUCAUUACUUUCAUGAGAAAGCUUUGUCCGUUGAGUAUUCUAAACUGUUUCGGUUAUACAAUCAAGACGCACUCGACAAAUCUAUCGUCAGUUGCUAUUGUCUGUAAGUGAUUUCUUUCUGUAAUUUUACGUCUCAAGCUAGCUGUAGUGAUCCUUUUGAUCAAUCAUUACCUGUAAUUAUCCUUACUAUAUUCUUUUCUGUGGUAUUAUGCAGGAUGAAGAUGUAUGAAAUGAGAAAAGGUGGACGCUAUGGCAUUGGGUUCAUUGACCCAAACACCGUUAAUGAAUACACAUGGCGGAUAAAUCCACAUCAUCAAAAGGACGUAGAGGACAACAUGCUAGAGUUCUUAAAGCGCCUCAAAUACAAUAAAAAUAUACUACUUCCUUACAACUUCCAGUGAGUCACACUGUCUUGUACUACAAAUUCGCUGUUUUUGCCUACUAGCUAGCUACAUGUUUUUGCUUACAUAUGCCCGCUUAAUUAAAACAUGCAAACGUGUGUGCAUGCAGAUUUCACCGGGUCUUGUGCAUCAUUAAAGUUGACGCCGGAACAGUUGAAAUACUGGACUCACUACUCAAAGUUAAAACUGACUAUAACAUCUUGUUUGGGAUAGUCAACAGGUAAUUUCAAUCAUUAUUAACUAUAUAUCUCGGCCUAUUUAGUUCGUCAUUUCAUGAUAUGAACUAUUUAAUAACCCCUUUAUUCAUUUUCUUUGUCGGCGGGCAGGGCUUGGGCAAGGUUCAUCAGCAUCACGGAUGGCGAAUGGAAAAAAAAGCUUCAAUGGUUUCGACCCAAGGUAAGUAAUUAAGUAGUACUAGCUAGCUGGCUAGCUGCCAUCUCUUUAAUUAUCAUGCUUGGUUAAUUAUUAUCUGAUCAAAUUCCAUUCUCGUAAAGACCCUGAAGCAGGCGCAGGGGACUGAUCUAUGUGCAUUCUGCGUUUGCGAGAACAUUCGCAUGAUGGCGUCCGAAAGGAGCAGAUCUCAAAGACAGGAAUGGGUACGCUUGUCAGAACACUAUUCACAAUUUUUACACUAUUAUCGAUAUCUAGUCACACAACUAAUACACAUGCAUAUUGAUCUCCUUCUUAACCGUUCAGAGAGGUGCGGGAGAAGCUCCUAGAAACGGAGCGCAUAGAAGCACUUCAAGAGGAAAUAGCGGGAUUUUUGCUCGACCAGGUCAUAAAUCCGAAGGGAGAAUACUAUUACCCGCUACCGCCCCCAUGAAAACCACUUCCAAUUGUCAUCGUGCUCCGAAGGCACCAAUUAGGCUAAUGCCACUGGCUCCGAAGGCAACAUGCAUAUGUAGGAGAAAUUGUAUAUAGCUAGCUAUACAUUUGUGUAUGUGUGAAUUAAUUAAUAUGGUGGUUUGUGAGACAUUGAUGAUAUAUAUAUGCAUGAUUGGUUCUACUAGAAAUUCUAUUUAUAUAUAUAUAUAUAUAUAUAUAUAUAUAUAUAUGCAUAACGUGUAUAAUGUGUAGUAUCGUAAAAUACCAGCAAACGAAAAAGAAUUAAAAUGGAAACACAAAAUUAAAUGAAAAAGAAAUAAUAAAACUAAAAAAACCCCAAACCUUAUGCCACGUGGUUGCCCUUUACCACCGGUUCGUGCUGAACUGGUACUAAAGGGGGGGGCCUUUAGUGCCCACACUUUAGUGUCGGUUAUGGAACCAGCACUAAAGGGCCUUACGAACCGGUGCUAUUACCCGGUUCUGCACUAGUGUUGGUUUUGCUUAUUGAAUGCUCAUAUUGGAAAAGUUCUCCUUCAUUCCCGUGUGCUAGACAAUUUGGUGUAAUAAUGCACUCGGGAAUGAAAGGAGGAGCUACGUACAUCACUGAUAGUCAACCCGUGAUUAAUAAUAAUGAUCUAGUUUAAUAUUUGAAUUAUGAACAUAGGCCGGAAAUGUCGUACUCGGACGAUGAAAACCGCCCGGGGGAGUGCGACUGGUGCCACGACGACCGAGGUAUGUGCGACAGGUUCAUUGAGCUGGACGAAGAUCGACGCUUCAGCAUUAAGCUCGAGGAUACCUUCGAUGUUCAUACGGUACGCAACGACGACAAUAGUUUUUUUCUUAAUUAAGCACGACUUUAACUAUUUUAACGUGUAUUUUUCAUCUUUUCCAAUUUGACUAGCUUAUCCCAUGCUAUGCAAGACGCUAUGUCUUGGAGAGGAUGAAGGAAAUAUGCCCUAGAGGCAAUAAUAAAGUUAUUAUUUAUUUCCUUAUAUCAUGAUAAAUGUUUAUUAUUCAUGCUAGAAUCGUAUUAACCGGAAACAUAAUACAUGUGUGAAUACAUAGACAAACAUAGUGUCACUAGUAUGCCUCUACUUGACUAGCUCGUGAAUCAAAGAUGGUUAAGUUUCCUAGCCAUGGACAAAAGAGUUGUCAUUCGAUUAACGGGAUCACAUCAUUAGGAGAAUGAUGUGAUUGACUUGACCCAUUCCGUUAGCCUAGCACUUGAUCGUUUAGUAUAUUGCUAUUGCUUUCUUCAUGACUUAUACAUGUUCCUGUAACUAUGAGAUUAUGCAACUCCCGUUUAUUGGAGGAACACUUUGGGUGCUACCAAACGUCACAACGUAACUGGGUGAUUAUAAAGGAGUACUACAGGUGUCUCCAAAGGUACAUGUUGGGUUGGCGUAUUUCGAGAUUAGGUUUUGUCACUCCGAUUGUCGGAGAGGUAUCUCUGGGCCCUCUCGGUAAUGCACAUCACUAUAAGCCUUGCAAGCAAUGUGACUAAUGAGUUAGUUGCGAGAUGAUGUAUUACGUAACGAGUAAAGAGACUUGCCGGUAACGAGAUUGAACUAGGUAUUAGAUACCGACGAUCGAAUCUCGGGCAAGUAACAUGCCGAUGACAAAGGGAACAACGUAUGUUGUUACGCGGUUUGACCGAUAAAGAUCUUCGUAGAAUAUGUAGGAGCCAAUAUGGGCAUCCAGGUUCCGCUAUUGGUUAUUGACCAAGAAUAGUUCUAGGUCAUGUCUACAUAGUUCUCGAACCCGUAGGGUCCGCACGCUUAAGGUUUCGAUGACAGUUAUAUUAUGUGUUUAUGAGUUUUGAUGUACCGAAGGAGUUCGGAGUCCCGGAUGAGAUCGGGGACAUGACGAGAAGUCUCGAAAUGGUCGAGACGUAAACAUCGAUAUAUUGGACGACUAUAUUUGGAGUUCGGAAAGGUUUCGAGUGAUUCGGGUAUUUUUCGGAGUACCGGAGAGUUACGGGAAUUCGCCGGGGAGUAUAUGGACCUUAUUGGGCCAUACAGGAAUAGAGGAGAGAGGCCAAAAGGAAGGAGGCCUGCGCACCCCCUCUGGUCCGAAUUGGACAAGGGGCGCAGCCCCCCUUUCCUUCUUCCUCUCCCCCUCUUUCCCCUUCUCCUACUCCAACAAGGGAGGUGGAAUCCUACUAGGACUAGGGAGUCCUAGUAGGACUCCACACUUGGCGCGCCCCCUCCUAGGGCCGGCCUCCUCCCCCCUUGCUCCUUUAUAUACGGGGGCAGGGGGGCACCCCAUGACACACAAGUUGAUCUACGUGAUCGUUCCUUAGCCGUGUGUGGUGCCCCCCUCCACUAUAUUCCACCUUGGUCAUAUCGUCGCGGAGUUUAGGAGAAGCCCUGCGCCGGUAGAACAACAUCAUCGUCACCAUGCUGUCGUGCUGACGGAACUCAUCCCCGACACUUUGCUGGAUCGGAGUCCGGGGAUCGUCAUCGAGCUGAACGUGUGCUGAACUCGGAGGUGCCGUACGUUUGGUACUUGGAUCGGUCGGAUCGUGAAGACGUACGACUACAUCAACCGCGUUGUCAUAACGCUUCCGCUUACGGUCUACAAGGGUACAUGGACAUUACUCUCCCCUCUCGUUGCUAUGCACCACCAUGAUCUUGCGUGUGCGUAGGAAAUUUUUUGAAAUUACUACAUUUCCCAACAGUGGCAUCCGAGCCUAGGUUUUAUGUGUUGAUGUUAUAUGCACGAGUAGAACACAAGUGAGUUGUGGGCGAUACAAGUCAUACUACUUACCAGCAUGUCAUACUUAAUUUGGUUCAGCGGUAUUGUUGGAUGAAGCAGCCCGGACCGACAUUACACGUACGCUUACGCGAAACUGGUUUUACCGCCGUGCUUUGCACACAGGUGACUAGCGGGUGUCUGUUUCUCCAACUUUAGUUGAACCAAGUGUGGCUACGCCCGGUCCUUGAGAAGGUUAAAACAACAUUAACUUGACGAACUAUCGUUGUGGUUUUGAUGCGUAGGUAAGAACGGUUCUUGCUCAGCCCAUAGCAGCCACGUAAAACUUGCAACAACAAAGUAGAGGACGUCUAACUUGUUUCUGCAGGGCAUGUUGUGAUAUGGUCAAGACGUGAUGAGAUAUAAGUUGUUGUAUCAGAUGAUCAUGUUUUGUUGAAGUUAUCGGCAACUGGCAGAAGCCCUAUGGUUGUCUCUUUGUUACAUAAGAUGCAAGUGCCAAAUAAUUGCUUUACUUUAUCGCUAUACGAUAGCAAUAGUUGCAAGAGCAAUAGUUGGCGAGACGACCAUGUGACGACACAUUCAUAUAGACCAAGAUGAUGAAGAUCAUGGCAUCGUGCCGGUAACGAUAGAGAUCAUGACAGUACUUUGGAGAUGGAGAUCACAAGCACAAGAUGAUGAUGGCCAAUAUCAUAUCACUUAUAUUGAUUGCAUGUGAUGUUUAUCUUUUAUACAUCUUAUUUUGCUUAGUUUGACGGUAGCAUUUUAAGAUGAUUUCUCACUAAAUUAUCAAGAAGUGUUCUCCCUGAGUAUGCACCGUUGCGAAAGUUCUUCAUGCUGAGACACCAUGUGAUGAUCGGGUGUGAUAGGCUCUACGUUCAAAUACAGCGGGUGCAAAACAGUUGCACACGCGGAAUACUCAGGUUAAACUUGACGAGCCUAGCAUAUAACAGAUAUGGCCUCGGAACACGAAGACCGAAAGGUCGAGCGUGAAUCAUAUAGUAGAUAUGAUCAACAUAUUGAUGUUCACUGUUGAAACUACUCCAUCUCACGUGACGAUCGGACAUGGUGUAGUUGAUAUGGAUCACGUAAUCACUUAGAGGAUUAGAGGGAUGUCUAUCUAAGUGGGAGUUCUUAAGUAAUAUGAUUAAUUGAACUUUAAAUUUAUCAUGAACUUAGUCCCGGUAGUAUUUUGCAAAUUAUGUUGUAGAUCAAUAGCUCGCGUUUUUGCUUCCCUAUGUUUUUAUAUGUGUUCCUAGAGAAAAACUAAGUUGAAAAGAUGUUAGUAGCAAUGAUGCGGACUUGGUCCGUGAUCUGAGGUUUAUCCUCAUUGCUGCACAGAAGAAUUAUGUCCUUGAUGCACACGCUAGGUGACAGACCUAUUGCAGGAGCAGAUGCAGACGUUAUGAACGUUUGGCUAGCUCAAUAUGAUGACUACUUGAUAGUUUUAUGCACCAUGCUUUAUGGCUUAGAACCGGGACUACAAAAACGUUUUUGAAACGUCAUGGAACAUAUAAGAUGUUUCAAGAUAUGAAAUUGGUAUUUCAGACUCAUGCCCGUGUCAAGAGGUAUGAGACCUCUGAGAAAUACUUCGCCUAAAAGAUGGAGGAGAAUUGCUCAACUAGUGAGAAAGUACUUAGAUUGUCUGAGUACUACAAUCACUUGAAUCGAGUGGGAGUUAAUCUUCCAGAUAAGAUAGUGAUUGGCAGAGUUCUCUAGUCACCAUCACCAAGUUACUGGAACUUCGUGAUGAACUAUAAUGCAAGGGAUGACGAAAACGAUUCCUGAGCUCUUCGUGAUGCUGAAAUCGAUGAAGGUAGAAAUCAAGAAAAGAGCAUCAAGUGUUGAUGAUUGACAAGACCACUAAUUUCAAGAAAAGGGUAAAGGGAAAGAAAGGGAACUUCAACUAGAAUGACAAGCAAGUUGUCACUCCCGCGAAGAAGCCCAAAGCUGGACCAAAGCCUGAAACUGAGUGAUUAUACUGCAAAGGAAAUGGUCACUAGAAGCAGAAAUGCCCUGAAUAUUUGGUGGAUAAGAAGGAUGGCAAAGUGAACAAGGGUACAUUUGAUAUACAUGGUAUUGAUGUGUACUUUACUAGUGUUUAUAGUAGCCCCUGAGUAUUUGAUACUUGUUCAGUUGCUAAAAUUAGUAACUUGAAAUAGGAGUUACAGAAUAAACAGAGACUAGUUGAGGGUGAAGUGACGAUGUGUGUUGGAAGUAGUUCCAAGAUUGAUAUGAUCAUCAUCACACUCUCCCUACACUUUCGAGAUUAGUGUUGAACCUAAAUAAAUGUUAUUUGGCUUUGCGUUGAGCAUGAAUAUGAUUUGAUCAUGUGUAAUGCAAUACGGUUAUUCAUUUAAAGUCAGAGAAUAAUUGUUAUUCUGUUUACAUGAAUAAAGCCUUCGAUGGUCAUACACCCAAUGAAAAUAGUUUGUUGGAUCUCGAUCGUAGUGAUACACAUAUUUCAUAAUAUUGAUGCCAAAAGAUGCAAAGUUGAUAAUGAUAGUGCAACUUAUUUGUGGCACUGCCAUUUGGGUCAUAUCGGUGUAAAGCGCAUGAAGAAACUCCAUACUGAUGGGUUUUUGGAAUCGCUUGAUUAUGAAUCAUUUGAUGCUUGCAAACCGUGCCUUAUGGGCAAGAUGAGUAAAACUCCGUUCUUCAGAACAAUGGAACGAGCUACUGACUUGUUGGAAAUAAUACAUACUGAUGUAUGCGAUUCAAUGAGUAUUAAUGCUCGUGGCGAGUAUCGUUAUUUUCUGACCUUCACAAGAUGAUUUGAGCAGAUAUGAGUAUAUCUACUUAAUUAAGCACAAGUCUGAAACAUUUUAAAAGUUCAAAGAAUUUCAGAGUGAAGUGAAGAAUCAUCGUAACAAGAAAAUAAAGUUUCUGUGAUUUGAUCACGGAGACAAAUAUCCGAGUUACGAGUUUGGCCUUCAUAUAAAACAAUGUGGAAUAGUUUCACAGCUCAUGCCACCUGGAACACCAUAGCAUUAUGGUGUGUCCAAACGUCGUAACCGCACUUUAUUGGAUAUGGUGCGAUCUAUGAUGUCUCUUAUCGGUUUACCACUAUCGUUUUGGGGUUAUGCAUUAGAGACAGCUGCAUUCACGUUAAAUAGGGUACCAUCUAAAUCCGUUGAAACGACACCGUAUGAACUAUGGUUUGGCAAGAAACCAAAGUUGUCGUUUCUUAAAGUUUGGGGCUGCGAUGCUUAUGUGAAAAAGUUUCAACCUGAUAAGCUCGAACCCAAAUCGGAGAAGUGCGUCUUCAUAGAAUACCCAAAGGUAAAUAUUGGGUACACCUUCUAUCACAGAUCUGAAAGCAAGUUUCGUUGCUAAGAUGGAUCCUUUCUAGAGAAGAAGUUUCUCUCGAAAGAAGUGAGUGGGAGGAAAGUAGUACUUGAUGAGGUAAUUGUACCUUCUCCCUUAUUGGAAAGUAGUUCAUCACAGAAAUCAGUUCCAGUGAUUCCUACACCAAUUAGUGAGGAAGUUAAUGAUGAUGAUCAUGAAACUUCAGAUCAAGUUGCUACCAAACCUCGUAGGUCUUCCAGAGUACGAUCCGCACCAGAGUGGUACGGUAAUCAUAUUCUGGAAGUCAUGUUACUAGACCAUGAUGAACCUACGAACUAUGAGGAAGCGAUGAUGAGCCCAAAUUCCACGAAAUGGCUUGAGGCCAUGAAAUCUGAGAUAGGAUCCAUGUAUGAGAACAAAGUAUGGACUUUGAUUGACUUGCUCGAUGAUCAGCAAGCCAUGUUAAAUAAAUGGAUCUUCAAGAGGAAGACGGACACUGAUAGUAGUGUUACUAUCUACAAAGCUCGACUUGUCACAAAAAGGUUUUCGACAAGUUCAAGGUGUUGACUACAAUGAGAUUUUCUCAACUGUAGCGAUGCUUAAGUCUGUCCGAAUCAUGUUAGCAAUUGCCACAUUUUAUGAAAUCUAGCAAAUGGAUGUCAAAACUGCAUUCCUUAAUGGAUUUAUUAAAGAAGAGUUGUAUAUGAUGCAACCAGAAGGUUUUGUCAAUCCUAAAGAUGCUAACAAAGUGUGCAAGCUCUAGCAAUCCAUCAAUGGACUGGUGCAAGCAUCUCGGAGUUGGAAUAUACGCUUUGAUGAGUUGAUCAAAGCAUAUGGUUUUAUGCAGACCUUUGGAAAGGCCUGUAUUUACAAGAAAGUGAGUGGGAGCACUAUAGCCUUUCUGAUAAGUAUAUGUGAAUGACAUAUUGUUGAUCGGAAAUAAUGUAGAAUUUUCUGGAAAGCAUAAAGGAGUGUUUUAAAGGAUUUUUUCAAAGAAAGACCUCAGUAAAGCUACUUACAUAUUGAGCAUCAAGAUCUAUUGAGAUAGAUCAAGACGCUUGAUAAGAUUUUCAAUUAGUACAUACCUUGACAAGAUUUUGAAGUAGUUCAAAAUGGAACAGUCAAAGAAAGAGUUCUUGCCUAUGUUGCAAAGGUGUGAAAUUGAGUAAGACUCAAAUCCCGACCACGGCAGAAAAUAGAAAAGAGAAUGAAAGUCAUUCCCUAUGCCUCAGUCAUAGGUUCUAUAAAGUAUGCUAUGCUGUGAACCAGACCUAUUGUAUAUCUUGCUUUGUGUUUGGCAUAGGAAUACAAUUUUGAUCUAAUAGUAGAUCACUGGACAGCGGUCAAGAAUAUCCUUAGUGAGGACUAAGGAAAUACUUCUCGAUUAUGGAGGUGAUAAAAGAGCCCGUCAUAAAAAGUUACAUCGGUGCAAGCUUUUACACCGAUCCGGAUGACUCUAAGUCUCAAUCUGGAUACAUAUUGAAAGUGGGAGCAAUUAGCUAGAGUAGAUCCAUGCAGAGCAUUGUAGACAUAGAAUAUUUGCAAAAUACAUACGGCUCUGUAUGUGACAGACCCGUUGACUAAACUUCUCUCACGAGCAAAACAUGAUCAUACCUUAGUACUCUUUGGGUGUUAAUCACAUAGCGAUGUGAACUAGAUUAUUGACUCUAGUAAACCCUUUGGGUGUUGGUCACAUGACGAUGUGAACUAUGGGUGUUAAUCAUAUACAGAUAUGAAUAUUGAUGUUAAAUCACAAGGCGAUGUGAACUAGAUUAUUGACUCUAGUGCAAGUGGGAGACUGAAGGAAAUAUACCCUAGAGGAAAUAAUAAAGUUAUUAUUUAUUUCCUUAUAUCAUGAUAAAUGUUUAUUAUUCAUGCUAGAAUCGUAUUAACCGGAAACAUAAUACAUGUGUGAAUACAUAGACAAACAUAGUGUCACUAGUAUGCCUCUACUUGACUAGCUCGUGAAUCAAAGAUGGUUAAGUUUCCUAGCCAUGGACAAAAGAGUUGUCAUUUGAUUAACGGGAUCACAUCAUUAGGAGAAUGAUGUGAUUGACUUGACCCAUUCCGUUAGCCUAGCACUUGAUCGUUUAGUAUAUUGCUAUUGCUUUCUUCAUGACUUAUACAUGUUCAUGUAACUAUGAGAUUAUGCAACUCCCGUUUACCGGAGGAACACUUUGGGUGCUACCAAACGUCACAACGUGGGUGAUUAUAAAGGAGUACUACAGGUGUCUCCAAAGGUACGUGUUGGGUUGGCGUAUUUCGAGAUUAGGUUUUGUCACUCCGAUUGUUGGAGAGGUAUCUCUGGGCCCUCUCGGUAAUGCACAUCACUAUAAGCCUUGCAAGCAAUGUGACUAAUGAGUUAGUUGCGAGAUGAUGUAUUACGUAACGAGUAAAGAGACUUGCCGGUAACGAGAUUGAACUAGGUAUUAGAUACCGACGAUCGAAUCUCGGGCAAGUAACAUGCAGAUGACAAAGGGAACAACGUAUGUUGUUAUGCGGUUUGACCGAUAAAGAUCUUCGUAGAAUAUGUAGGAGCCAAUAUGGGCAUCCAGGUUCUGCUAUUGGUUAUUGACCAAGAAUAGUUCUAGGUCAUGUCUACAUAGUUCUCGAACCCGAAGGGUCCGCACGCUUAAGGUUUCGAUGGCAGUUAUAUUAUGAGUUUAUGAGUUUUUAUGUACCGAAGGAGUUCGGAGUCCCGGAUGAGAUCGGGGACAUGACGAGAAGUCUCGAAAUGGUCGAGACGUAAACAUCGAUAUAUUGGACGACUAUAUUUGGAGUUCGGAAAGGUUUCGAGUGAUUCGGGUAUUUUUCGGAGUACCGGAGAGUUACGGGAAUUCGCCGGGGAGUAUAUGGACCUUAUUGGGCCAUACAGGAAUAGAGGAGAGAGGCCAAAAGGAAGGAGGCCUGCGCACCCCCUCUGGUCCGAAUUGGACAAGGGCGCAGCCCCCCUUUCCUUCUUCCUCUCCCCCUCUUUCCCCUUCUCCUACUCCAACAAGGGAGGUGGAAUUCUACUAGGACUAGGGAGUCCUAGUAGGACUCCACACUUGGCGCGCCCCCUCCUAGGGCCGGCCUCCUCCACCCUUGCUCCUUUAUAUACGGGGGCAGGGGGCACCCCAUGACACACAAGUUGAUCUACGUGAUCGUUCCUUAGCCGUGUGCCGUGCCCCCCUCCACCAUAUUCCACCUCGGUCAUAUCGUCGUGGAGUUUAGGCGAAGCCCUGCGCCGGUAGAACAUCAUCAUCAUCACCACGCCGUCGUGCUGACGGAACUCAUCCCCGACACUUUGCUGGAUCGGAGUCCGGGGAUCGUCAUCGAGCUGAACGUGCUGAACUCGGAGGUGUCGUACGUUCGGUACUUGGAUCGGUCGGAUCGUGAAGACGUACGACUACAUCAACCGUGUUGCCAUAACACUUCCGCUUAUGGUCUACAAGGGUACGUGGACAUUACUCUCCCCUCUCGUUGCUAUGCAUCACCAUGAUCUUGCGUGUGCGUAGGAAAUUUUUUGAAAUUACUACGUUUCCCAAUAGAGGAUGGGUUUUGAAGACCAUGAAAGUAUGGAAACCAAAAAAAUUAUCCUAAGUACCCAAUAUGGUGUGGAUUUCCAAGUAAAGCUGUACAAUGCUGAGAGUGUAAUCCAUUUUGGUUGCAAAAAUUGGAAAGCACUUUGCAAGAUGUAUGGUUUUGAUGAGGGUAUGCUUGUCACCAUGGAUCUUGGUGAUCCUACAAUCGAGUAAGAGAGACCUUCGAUUUGGGUCCUUGUGGAUACACCUCCAAUUCUUUCCCCAUGUGAGCUUAACAUAGUUAUUAAGUAAUUUAUAUUGUUUAUUUCAAAAUAGUUGACAUCUUAUUUCCAUUAACAGAUUAUUUUCAUUCUUCAAAGAAUGUGUGGAAGAUGGUAGACAAAACCCACUACACCGAUGGCUCCGAAUUAACUUAUAGGGUGAAAAAUCAUCUGAUCGCAUUUUGUACUGAUCUUGAGAAUUACAAUGUCUAUAAUCGAACUCCUCAACAUUAUGGUCAAUACGUGCCACUAGUGCAUGUGUUGAACUACGGUAACUACCAUGGAGAUACCCUGGUAAGAGUUUUUACUAUUACGACAUCCGUGCAUCUUUUUGCACACUUCUAAAACUAGUACAUCAUUGCUAACUACGAAGUUAUUACUACUUUUUCAACAGAUAAUCCCGAAUGAUUGUGUGCCUCAUCUGAUGUAUACGCACGGUACCCUUCAUGUUUUGAACAUACAACCAGGUCUUCCUACGAAUCUGAACUGUCCAUACCGGGUUUCUAAAAGAAGUGGAGACAUGACAAUCAAAGAAUGGAAAAAAUGUAUGGACAGUCGUAAGGAGCUUCUUGGAAGCAAAAGGCAGCGAAGCGCAAGAAUUGGAGACAGGAUGAUCUCCAUUCUUCAUAAUGGAGAGUCAGGGUCUAUAUUAUUUUAUGCUAUUUUACCUUAAUGGUGUUUAGGUCCUACCUGAUACUGAUAAUCAUGUGCUAAGAACAAUUAUGUAGGGUUGGGUUCGAUGACUAUGAGAAUGAUGAUCGUAUGACUUAUUAUUAAUAACGAGUAGAAGUUGUAUGAUGAUGCAUGAUUAGUAGGACUUGUUAUUAUAUAUGAUGAUGUAUGAUGCGAGCAUGCAUGAGUUAUUAUAUCAGCGGGUGAAAUGAACAUAACAGCAGCAUUGGUAAACCAAGGACGAAGAUAUAAGAGAGGACACUUCUCUCUAUUAGCUAGCUAAUAACAACCUAAAAAUAACCCCCAAACCCCCUAAAGCAGCCACUUUUUAAAAAAAAACAUCGACUUUUGGUCCCGGUUGAUGCCACCAACCGGGACCAAAGGCCCCCCUGCCUGGGCUCGACGCACCGGCCACGUGGAGGCACAUCUGUCCCGGUUUGUGUUUGAACCGGGACUAAAGGGGGAGGUAUUAGUAACGACCCAUUAGUCCCGGUUCAUGAACCGGGACUAAAGGCCCUUACAAACCGGGACAAAUUCCCCCUUUUCUACUAGUGUACUAACCAGAAUUGAAGCAUCGAGAUUCCCCUCCAUGCCAUUGGCUGCCAGAGUGGUAGUUAGAGGGGCUGUGAUUCCAUGUGCUCUUUGGUGAAGUCUGGAGGGGAGAAUUUGCCCCGGCCUCCAAGGAAUAGAGGAGGAAAAGCUAAACACGUUCUUUGUUUUCUUUGAUCAUUUGCUCUUCUUUAAUUUACCAUCUUAAUGAUUUUCCCUUUUUACUUGCUUUAAAUUAUUUUCAUGUUGUUGGUUGGAUAAUGAUCAAUAUUUUGAUCUAGUUUGUUGGAGGUGAUAACAGAUUAAACAGAAUAUUAUCUAGAUCAUGAGUGUUCAUCCCAUUUUCUUCGAGAAUUAACGAACUAGUUAAUCUUCAUCUAUAAUCAAUUGGAUAGGAUUAAGGGUACAGGUAUGCAUGUAACCACCCAAUGCACACACACAUGCAUGUUCGAGUUGAGAAGUUUGGGGCUGAGGAGAGCUACCGAACAGGCCCUAAGUAGAUGCUCUCCUUUGAGAACCACCAUUCAUCUCAUGUUCAACCCCACCCCGUCAUUGCUUCUCGGUUUCUUUGUGGAAUCCUUUUCCCUAUUGAAGGGCACAUCUCCUGGCAAUCCACUUCUGAGCCCAGGCUCAGCUGCACCCGCCCUGACAAAAAAAAUCAAAACAAAUACUAGGAAAAAUCAAAAAAAAUUGUGUGGUACAUAAUUUGAUGCGUGAGGUCCGCUCUAGUUUUAAAAUCAUUUGGACAUAUGAGCAGCUCUCGGCAAAAAAGACAAAUUCGGGGUCUGUAAAAAUGUUUAUUGUUCAUGCAUUGUUUUGACCUAAUUUGUCUUUUUUGCUGAGAGCUUCUCAGAAGUCCAAAUGAUCUAAAAUUUGGAGCGAACCUCACGUGAUAAAUUGUCUACCAUACAAAAAAUUGGAAUUUUUUGAAUUUUUAUUUUAUUUUUUGUGAUUUGUUUUUUGGGCGGGUGCAGAUGAGUCUGGGCACCGAAACACCGCACGCCACAUCUCCUCUUCAUCCUACUAUUUCAAGAGGAAUUAAUUAAAUGCACCAGGACAUGAAACUGUUUGUCAUCACCCCAAAAACUUGAUAAGCUGUGAGAAAAAAAAUCUCCGACCAAAAGCCACCAAGCAAAACCUUGUCCAACAAGGAUAUCAAAGAAGAGUGCGACCACACACGAAAUCAUUCAAUAGCUAGGAACAAAUACGCUCUCUAUAACAACAAAAAAGUCAUCGAGGAUGUAAAGUGAAGGUAUUUUAACAUCGAAGUAUCUUCAAACUGGAUGCAUGAGAAAAUAUCUCUCAAGUAAAAUAUUGUUUGACGACGUAAAAAGGUAUGACAUAAGAUAAUGAAAAAAAAAUUAUCUCCAUAAAUCUUGGAAUAGAUGUGAUCUAUUUUUCUUGCAACAAAAUGUGACAAACAUGACCCCAAGAUUUAUCUCGAUAAAUCAAUCUUGGAAUAUAAUGUUUUUUUAGAAAUAACCACAUAUAUUUCAUUAGAAAAACAUAUUACAAAGACAUGUGGUCAUCAAAGAAGACACACAUAGAUGUCUUGCAAUAUUGCAUCAAAGACUUCACAAGAACUAAAACUAUAAUUUCACUUCGGCAGAAUCUUGUGCCACGCCCAAACGUCGCCCACCAUCGUCCUCCUUCGCCGCUGAGGUAACGUCGAAGAAAGAGGGGAACCGCCUUCAUACCAAGAUCUAGAGGAGCACCUUUGCAUACAAUGGUGUUUUUCGAGCCGAUGAACCCGACCGUCGCAAGCGACGAGACCGAGAUUUUGUGACAUGUCGUCCGGGGUUCUUCCUCGUGUCCGCUAGAUCCCAGCGUUGUCCACUUCAUUCGACUAGGUCGAAGAAGAUGAAUGCCGCUGCAUUCCAUCAUCCACGCACCCCACUGCAAGACACCAAACACAACCGCAACAGUCGGCACCAAGGCCACCCAAGAGAGAGUGAAGCGCCGACCAUCAGACACAAAUGUUACAAGAUCUGAAGACCGGCAAGAAGACCGAGCCACCUGCUCCCCAGCGUCGUCCAUUAGAGCGCCAUCGGAUAAAGGUAGAGCGGAAGCAAAUUAUUUUGACGCGGCGCCGUCCACACCAUUGAUGCAACAUCUCUGAAAACAAACUAUGCCUAUCCUAUAUCCCUACCUGACAGAAACUGUUGUGACCUAUUUGUCUUGUUAAAAUAGUGGAUCAACUGCACAUGAUGGUAUGUAGCAUGACUCUGCACAGAUAGCUUUCUUAUAAAUUUGAGGCAUAGAGGUUUCGUGGUGUAGUUGGUUAUCAAGACCUUCUAACACACUGAAGGUCUCCGGUUCGAACCCGGGCGAAGCCACUCCGUUUUUUUCUUUUUUUUUCACUGUGUAAAAAAAAGCAAAAAAAACAAGAAAAUAAAAAAGAUGAUGAUGGCCCAUACAGGUCUCCAACCUGUGACCUUCGCGUUAUUAGCACGACGCUCUAACCAGCUGAGCUAAUAGGCCUUUUGUGACAUUUUACAUUUUGUUCCUCAUAUUUCAGAUAGGACUUGUAUAUUAUCAUCCCUUCUCGUUGUAAUAAAUAGAACACGUAAUAGGCCUUUUGGUUCUCUUAAGUUAUUUUAACUUCUAUAUUGCAAAGAACUGAAUAUUAAGUACCUUCGCCAGAAGGGCUAAUGGUCUUUUGCUGUUGGUCUUCUCAUGCUGCGGUUUUCCUCUUCCCUAUGGUUUCAUUUGCAGCAGUAUUUUCUUUUCUUCUGAUUGACGAGUUAUGUAUUAGAUUGUCGAGUUUUGUGGUUUAUAGCGCAGGAUUUUGUUUCUACAAAAGGUAGAUCCCAACAAGACACCAUGGUAUGCGUAUCUUGUAGUCUAUCUGUCUUAUUGAGAAAAUACAUUAAUGUCUCAUGGUGUAGUAGGUUAUCACGUCAGUCUAACACACUACAUGGCGAAGCCAAAUUGUUAUUGUUUUUUCUUUUCUGUAAAACUACAAAAUGCACCAAUAAAUCUUUGUCAUUUGCUAGUUUCCCAUUUCAGUACCUAUGUUUGUAAGUAUUCUUCCCUCUUGGAAUCUCCAUUUUGCCACUGUUUCUCACUUUCUGUGAUGUGAUGUGUGCGCAAAUAUUCCCACAACAACUAAACAAUAAUAAAGCCAUAUACGCAAGCGAUCGAAUAAUGGCAACUUUAUAUUACCACUCAAGGCACAUCUCCAAACCGACCUGUCUGUCCAUAGUUGCGUCUCAACACUCGGGGCAGAAGGCUCGCUCUCAACCACUGCUUCAUAUCACCAGGAUCCACACGGCCAAAUAGUGUCCUCCAUUUUCGAAGUGAUGACAGUAUAUCUCGUGGGAAAAUUGUUUCCACAGUUCAAUAUCCCUCCCUUUGAUGAAAAAAAAUUACACUCAGCUUCUGCAUCACAGGAUGCAUAACGAAAAUUGUUUUGUUCGUUCUGUGCUGGAACACUAUAUCUUGUGUAAAAUAAAUGUUUCAACAAUAUCGACAUUCCCUCCCAUAAAAUAAAAUCAUCAAUAGCUCACUUCUCUAUAUACCUGGAUGGUAAGUAAUGGCCGGUGUGAGCACCCAAGACGGCACGCCAAUUAUCACCACUACGUAGACAAGUCACUAUAUGCACCCAAUUAUGCAAGAAAAAUAAUAUAAGUCAAGAACUGUCUGGACGCAGAUGGAGCUUUCUACAGAUGGGGACAAGAAUUUGGCACCACCCACUCAGUUUACCUCUCACCUUUUUGCAUUGCUUUCAUAUGUAAAAAAUAGUGAGUGGAUUUGCGAUCUGCCUUAAAAUGACAAGAUGGGGGUUGUGGGUUUUAAAAACUUCCAAAUGCAUUCUUUAUGUUCACAUGUUUAUUUAUUUUGUAUUUGUUUGUGCAUGUCAUAAAAAUUAUAAAUUUCCACAAGCAUACAUAAUAUUCAAUGAUCUACAUCGACAAUAGGGUUUGAGAUUUUUCAAAGCAUGACAAAAAAAUCAAAUGAGGUCGGCUGGAAAUUAAAGAUAUGUUCGGAGAUCCAAACAAUUAUGAUCUCUUUGAUACAAACUUCAAAGGAAUCAUUAUAGAAAAAUAGGAGAUUAUAAUUGUUAGAUUAUUUUCCUACGGGACUAGUUGGGCUGGAAACCAUAACAAUAUUUUCUAUUGCCUACUUGACAUGUAUUUGUAAGGAAAAUUAUGUCGAGCCAAAUCUUCUGAAAAUAAUUUCGUUGGUUCAAUGACAACUAUAUGCUUGCACCUAAUGCUUUAGAAAAUUCUUGAAUUUUUCCCUCUUGCGAUAAAUCAACAUCCAUAUUUUACGCAUUGCACUAUCUUCAGUUCUCAUAAGAUUCAACAUAGCAUGACACGAAAUAUGUAUGUUAAUUUUUCUGGUUCCUAUCUUUUUAAAAUGCCGCAAAAGGAUGUGGCAUGUAAUCUUCAAAAAAUAGUGGGAUUGUGAUAGUUAUUGAAAUGCAUGUAGGACGGAGACUAAACUUUCAGUAAAAUUCAACUUAUAAUACUAAAACUGGAAAAGUUGCCAAAACCUACGGCAACCAAGAGCUGCCAAGAUUUCUUAAAUAAAAAACCUUUGCGCGACAUUCCCCUAAGAAGACAUAAAUGUUUCCUUGUCUUGACAUUCAAAAACACUGAGUGAGGGUUCUCGGCCGAAUUUCACUAAGAACUUGCAUAAAAGAGAGCUGUCUAUUAUUAUUAUUAUUUUCUAGGGUUUCAGAAUCUAGUUGGAUAUUGCUUUAAUUUGGAAUUCAUAAUUUGCCGAGAAACAGCACUAUAAAGUAAAGCAUUCCUAAACUUGACCNNNNNNNNNNNNNNNNNNNNNNNNNNNNNNNNNNNNNNNNNNNNNNNNNNNNNNNNNNNNNNNNNNNNNNNNNNNNNNNNNNNNNNNNNNNNNNNNNNNNNNNNNNNNNNNNNNNNNNNNNNNNNNNNNNNNNNNNNNNNNNNNNNNNNNNNNNNNNNNNNNNNNNNNNNNNNNNNNNNNNNNNNNNNNNNNNNNNNNNNNNNNNNNNNNNNNNNNNNNNNNNNNNNNNNNNNNNNNNNNNNNNNNNNNNNNNNNNNNNNNNNNNNNNNNNNNNNNNNNNNNNNNNNNNNNNNNNNNNNNNNNNNNNNNNNNNNNNNNNNNNNNNNNNNNNNNNNNNNNNNNNNNNNNNNNNNNNNNNNNNNNNNNNNNNNNNNNNNNNNNNNNNNNNNNNNNNNNNNNNNNNNNNNNNNNNNNNNNNNNNNNNNNNNNNNNNNNNNNNNNNNNNNNNNNNNNNNNNNNNNNNNNNNNNNNNNNNNNNNNNNNNNNNNNNNNNNNNNNNNNNNNNNNNNNNNNNNNNNNNNNNNNNNNNNNNNNNNNNNNNNNNNNNNNNNNNNNNNNNNNNNNNNNNNNNNNNNNAAUUUAGGUUUUUAUAAACUUGGUCAAACAUAGAAACAUUUGAAGAAAAAAAGUAGAGCUUAUAUUUUGAAAAUGGGAUUUAGUAAGUACACCAAUAAUUCGAUAUACCCACAAAAUGCUGGCUUUAGUUCCUUUCAUGGUUCCUUUGUUGUAAGAAAGAAGCUAGUAGACACAAAGGGAAUCAAAUCAUGGGAGGAGGCGGCCCUAUCCUUAUUCCUCUUCCCCACGCGGUUGCUCCCGUCCAUCCUUUGCCAAAGGUGCAGCAUCUCGCAUUUCCUUCUUCAUCUUCUCUUUCUCCUCCUUCCUUGAUGCUCACUCGCCUAUAAAUAGCCCUCGCUGCCUGCCAUUGUUACUCAAGCCAGCAAGCAAGAAGCACAGAAGAAGCUCCUAGCCAACACCAAUCAAAGCUUCCAUCCAAUCCCAAGCAACCUCGACGAUGUCUUGCUGCGGAGGAAACUGCGGCUGCGGCAGCGCCUGCAAGUGCGGCAACGGCUGCGGCGGCUGCAACAUGUACCCGGAGGCCGAGGCCGCCGGCGCCACCCUCCUCGUCUCCGCCACCGCCACCCACAAGGCGUACGUCCCUUCUCUUCUCCUCAGCUCAUACAUCAUCAUGCACUCGAUCGUAAUAGAGAGAAUAUGACUGUAUGUUGAUCUUGGUAUGGAUGGGGUACGUGCAGGAGCUCCAGCGGCAUGGAGAUGGCGGCGGAGAACGGCGGCUGCGGCUGCACCCAGUGCAAGUGCGGCACCAGCUGCGGCUGCUCCUGCUGCAGUUGCUAGAUCCAUCAUCGGUCAUGCAUGCACCGCGUGCAUCAUAUCUUUGAUCGAUCCAUCCAUCUACUUACCAUGUAACGCUACCUGAUCGAGGGUCUUUGUAUGUAUGUACGCACCUGCCUGCAUGAGCAGAGCAGGUGCCAUGCCAUGCAUGUAAACCCCUAAAUAAAAUCUCCCGUGGUUUAACCUAUAUAAAUGCGUUUGUGUUAUAGACCAGCUUCUGGCCCACGUUUACUAUCAACUUGCAAGGUGCCUGGGUUGUUAAUAGACCAGCUGAAUGAGCUUCAGGUGCUACAUUCGUGAAAAGGACUCGUGGUUUAUAACGCAUAUUGUAGCCUAGUAGCCACAUAUCAGCUGCGCUCAAUAUGCAGGAUUUCCAUUGGAUCAGAUCUUUCGCUUUGACGAAUUUGGACCUAGCGAAAAGGAUUCUUAAGCCUUCGCGCAAACAAGCAAAGUAGAAGCAAGACGAGGAAGUGGAGCUGUCGUAGAAGCAGUAGCUUCCCCCGACAAUAUACAAUACAACAGUAGCGACCAUGAAUAAAAAAGCCCCUUGUUUAACGAGUUCGCUGCUUUUCCCAGGCCGGAGAAGGGCAACUACUUAUUGAUUGAUCGCCUUUCUUUGAUAUGUGUUCAAUUUAGUAUAAUACAAACUACAACUAGAUCAAAGCGGAAGGGCCACUCACUAUAGAAGCUAUAACUAGAAAAGCCCUAGCCAAUAGUUUAGUAGUCGGCCAAACCCCCAUGCUCACGACAUGUUCUUGAUAUUGAUUGAGUUGGAGAGAGUCAGAGACUACCACGGAAUCCUUCCAUAGUCACCCCGGUGACCUUCGUCACCAAAGCGUCACAACAGUUUCCAAGACCCCUCAUAUAAUCUCCAGUGGGGAUCAGUCGGAGCACAUAAGAAUGCCGACCACUACAUAAGCCGCUGGCGGAGAAAGCUCGAAGAGCUUCCCUUCAUUCGCUUCGCGGGAGUCGCACACAGCACAUAGCUGGAAGUCAGAGGGCCCGUACUACCUGCCUAACCCUUCGCUCUGAGGGACCGUAGAACGGAAAGCGCCUUCUAAACAACUCGGCAGAAGGGAAGGGGCCUAUGUAUUUGCAUGACCCCUGCGGAUUUGACCCUACCUACACCCGGAGCCAACCCCCUAGCGGUCCUGCCACCACGCCGCAGAACAGGAGCUCGUGUGGAACCUUGGAUUUCUGGCAUAACAGCGAUGGAAGGUAUCAAAAUAUUACGGCCGCAUAACCAUAACAUAGUAUAUACGCUAAGGUCGGCCAAAAUAUGGACACCCGAAGGGCCCGGCGUGCACAAUCCUAUCCUAUCCGAGCCCGUCAUUGCAUGCACUUCGGACAGCCGUCCGUAGCAUCAUAAGGAGCACCUCCCUUUCGAGGUACCCAAAUGGAACGGUCUUUAUUUGUGUUGUUGGUUGGUCUUUCUCAAUGUGGUCUAUAGCACGAAUAACCAUUCUUUACAAGAUAGGGCCGUUCACAUGAAAGAAAAUACAAAAUCCAUUCUUCAUGGUCGGACGCAUUUCUCCAAAUCCUCCAGGAUCACAAGUGGAAUGCUAAGCAAGGGUGGGGAGGCUGCGAGCUCUGCGUCGAAUAGAAAGAAGCAAGCGGGGGUGUUGCCGUAGCGCGCCGGAGAGCAAGCGUAGGCAACCAAACUAAAUAAGGCUACAAAAGUAGCUAGCUAGCGUUUUUAAGCUGGCUGCCUUUUCUAGCGCGCGUACUCUUCUGUGGAGUCGCAAGGAACGAGCCUUGUCUUCCCUCCAACGACUAGCUCCCUUUUCUUAUUUCGGUCACCCUUCUCUUGUCGUGGAAGGACUUUUGCUUGUGGUGUGGUCCAACCCGUGGACGGAGUCGUCCUCAUCCCCCCAUUGCUCAGUGCUCCCUGCAGCUUCGCUGGGCUUUACCCGCGUGGGCGCGGGCUUCUAUAAGAGAAUGAAAAGCUCUCUUUUUACAAUAAAAUGCGAACCACACGGAGCCCACCCUUUUUCGUUUUUUGCCGCCACUGGGUGGCCACAGGGGAAACACAUCCCGGCCGCCUCUCAGGAAAGGGGGGUGGGCCUACCUAUCCCGAGGGAGCAGCUGAGAGGUUCAAUAUGCCGAGCCGAAGGGCAGAACUUCAAUGCGUGAUCAUAGUAUGUCACCUCGUCUCGUCCUCGCAGCAUCGAAGAGUACCUAUGCACUAUGUUCGGUUCACUGAUAAGGAAGAUAGAGUUGGGGUGGGGGUCUACGAUGUGAUACUAUAGUAUGCCCCGGGGAGAAAGAUGCGCAACUCAAAACGGAAGCAGGAAGCGUGUUGUCAAAAAUGUUGGAGGUUACCAGAUCUCCGAGACUACCAUUGAUCCGACAGAGCGGAACGACCAGAAAAAGAAGUGGAGUUAGAAAGCCGUAUGAUAGGUGGUAACUAUCUUGUACGGUUCGGGGGGUAAGCGGCGUACUCUGGGGGAAUAUUAGGCUCUAUCGACCAUACAGGGAAUUGGAGGUAGCAUUUUACUUAUGUUAAGUCAUGGACUAGUUUCUUCAGCCCUUUUUCUAUGUGUUGGUGUUCUAUAUGACCGACAUAAACUCGACUUGUGAGAUAUUAUGGAGGUUUAGUGAGCACCAUGCCAAAUUUCUCUACCAUUUUCUUAUUUUUCACUUUAGCCAAUAUGAGUUUACCUGGCACUAGCAGCUUUAUCGGGGAAUUUCUAAUCUUAGUAGGAGCUUUCCAAAGAAAUUGCUUAGUAGCCACAUUUGCUGCGCUUGGGAUGAUUUUAGGCGCGACAUAUUCCCUUUGGCUAUAUAAUCGUGUGGUUUCUAGAAAUUUAAAACCCGAUUUCCUCUAUAAAUUCUCUGAUCUAAUUGGUAGAGAAGUUUCCAUAUUUCUACCUUUUCUUGUUGGAGGGGCGACCGUCCGUUGAACUACCAAAAAAGGGUAAACCAAUGUGAUCAUGACAUUGUAGGAGCUUGCGAUGGGACGGAUGUGACUUCCCUCAUAAGUAAUGGGUGGCAUAGCUCGUAGCAGAAGUCCCCUUUUUUAUCCAUUUCUUUAUUACCCCAGAGGGGCCCAGCCUUGCGGGACCGAGAGAAAGAAAGGACGGGGGGCGACCAUGCAUGGCACUUCUCGACCGUGUCUCCGAGGAAUAGUUGAACGAGCGACUCAUGAAAGCUACCGGGUCGGACGAGCCAAUAACUCGAACGUGUUCAGUCAGUUUUUUGAGCAAGAAUCACAGUGUUACCUUACCUUCACCAUGAUACGGACUCCAAGUUCUUAUGGCAGAGCACGAGGAGUUUCCUUCAAUAUGAUGAUGAGAAUGGAAACCAGAAGCACGACUGGGUCUUCAUAGUCCGAGAUCAUACUUAUAUAUCAGUCACAGUAAUGUAAGCAUGAAAAUUUUUGGUAGUACCGGUGAACCAGAUGGCCGCAGCGAGGGAAUCUGGGAUGGAGGACUCGUAAUAUCUCUAUAGAUCUAGCAAAAGCGAAAGACCCUAACAUCAGGGGCUGACCAAUGAGCUCACUCAGGCCCCGCUGGGCGGUCCAAAGUGGGUGCGAGCUGGAAUUGCCAUAGCUUAUGGUUAGAGCAAUAGGAAAGGGCCCUACAGAGAGAACAGUCGGGAUAACGAGCGUGGAGCCCACUUGGCAGGCAGCAGGAGCAGCGGGCAAGUGCUUGCUUGGUAGGCUAACAGCCCUGUGAAUCGGGCGGGGCACUCGACGAAAGGGGGGCAUGCUGAGCAAGUACGCAAAAUUGGCCCUGUGGAGCUUUCAAAAAGAAAAGCAAGGACCACUACGGGAGGUCGAACCACGGACCGGAGGUAGUAGAACGUGAUCCGCACCGGUCAAUAUUGGAUCAAACAAUAGGGGACCAUAGCACUGACCCUUUUUUCAAGACAAUAGGUAUUGUUCCCUACCAAGACAAGGGACACUCUCAACGGAUCCUCCACGCGCUGGGCAUACCAUAGUUCUUCCGUUCGUCUUUAUCAUGGCGGAAACAGAACAAGAGGGAAAGACCCGGCCGACUCGCCAAGGGCUCGAGGGCGAGCCAUACGUGAGUGAGUCGAAUUCUGUUUACGUACUCGGUUUGGGUUCGGGCCCCUCUCGAUCUUUUGCGUAUAAGGGAAGGGGGAAGGAGUCUAAAUCUAUGGACAUUAAUGAACCACCAUUGAUGGACGUUGCACAUGACACAAGAAAUUUGACUCGACGAUCCGGUGCUAAUAGAAGUCGCUUACUCUCCGCCUAGCGAAGGUGCCAGAUCCUUAAAAUAAAGUAUCUAUCAGCCUAGUGUACCAACCACGUGGUACGACGGGCACUCAAAGACCUGACGAAUGAGGGGCCACCCCACCUAAGAGUGCUUAUGUCAUAUGGGAACUCUCGGCUGGAAACAAUCCUUAUGGUUUUUAUAUCCGGUUAGAAUAAUAAGAAAGAAUCAAAGUCCAUGUUGGUUGGUGAGCCUAGUGAUAGGAGACUAUCUAGCUUGGUUCAGAGAGCACUUGUUGGGUUUCAAAUUCAUUUUUUGCUAAAUGUUACGGCCUAAAUGUUGAACUAUUGACCCUACUUGUUCGGAUGGGUGUUCACCCCAAAGUGUUCCCGGACUGCAUGCAUACAUCCGUAAGUAACUUAGUGCAACAUGGCAAAUUUCAUUGAGUAGAAUCAGCAAACAAAAUAAAUCUUCUCCGGGUGACAGGGCCGCCUCGUUAAUAGACCAUGCAUAUUGUCGAGUUUUGUGUUUUAUAGCGCAAGAUUUUGUUUUUACAAAAGGUGGAUUCCAACAAGACACGAUGGUAUGCGUAUCUUGUAGUCUAUCUGUCUUCUUGAGAAAAUACAUUAAUGUCUCGUGGUGUAGUAGGUUAUCACGUCAGUCUAACACACUACAUGGCGAAGCCAAAUUGUUAUUGUUUUUUUUCCUGCAAAACUACAAAAUGCACCAAUAAAUCUUUGUCAUUUGCUAGUUUCCCAUUCUCGCGACUCUUAAUAUGAAGCCCAUGAAGACAUUAAAGAUAGCGGUGGACAGCUAAGGGCCUAAGGCCCAAGGGCGACUUAGGGCCCGUAGGUAUAAACCGCCAUAUAUGUAAAACGUGUAUUGUAAGGCAUGUAAAGAUAGUCACUGAGUCGGACACGUUGUCUAUGAGCCAUCCGGGACUCUAUGAUCCGCUGGGCGUCGACCUGUCUAUAUAAAGGGACGACCCGACGGCGGUUCAGGACAAGAAACAAGAGAUCGAAAGCUAGGUCAAGCAGAUUUGCUCCCUGAUAAUCGAGACAUAAAAAAUACCACCCAAAACUGGAUUAUAGGCUUUUACCUUCACCACAAGGGGCCGAACUAGUAUAAACCCUGUGUCCUUUGUCCUAUUUAACCCCUUUAAGCUAACCUAGAGGCGAUGGCUCCACGACUAAGUCCUUUCACGAGGACAUUUGUCGUGACUAUUCCACGACAGCUCUCCUCCCGAUGAGCACGUGCAGGUGUCUGAUCGCAUGCCUUCGGUAAUCAAAUAGCUACCCCACAUGGCACCUCCUAGCCAAUAAAAAAAGGAACGCGUGGUGGCACGUAAUUGGUAAGUAGAACGCCCACGGUUUCAAUAAUAGUUGUGUUUCCGAUUUGUAACGUGACAACACUUGUUCCAAAAUGACUUUGUUGAUUUUUAAUGUGUGCGUCUUCGCAAAUCGGACAGAAAAAUUACCACAGCAUGUUGGUGCCAUGUCAUGACACCAUGCCAAGUUUCAUGAUUUUCAGGCAUGUUUUGGACACCAUGCCAAGUUUCAUGAUUUUCAGACGUGAUUUUCAAGCAUGUUUUGGACACCAUGCCAAGUUUCAUGAUUAACCGCAGAAUGUUGGUGUCAUCAUGACACCAUGCCAAGUUUCAUGAUUUUCAGACGUGUUUUGGAUUUACAUCAAUUAAAAAACCAAGUUUCUCAAUCUUUCCGGCCGAGCCAUGACGCCCAGAUGUUUGAAUUUCAUUCUCAUUUCUUGCACGGGACUUAGAAAUUCACCCAAGAACACACAUGUGAUUUUUCAACCAACUUUGGUGCACUGGAGCAUGUGCUUGUAGUUCAAAUUUGAAUUAUGCAUAUUAAAUGCCCGGAAAUUCAACUAAUGUAUAAAAGAGUCCAAAUGAAUCCAGAAUAAUUCCACAAUUUUGCAUGAUACUUCUAUUUGGUCUAAUAUGCCCGUGUAAAAAAAUUAAGGUGGGAGAAGACAGUGUACGUAUGUCGUUUCGCACACGGAGGUGACACGUUCCCUCUCGGAACCACGAGCCUUCUUGAGAGAAGCUCCAGUUUGCAAGAAGCUUAUACCAAAGCUUGUCCCAAUUCGGCCAAAAAAAUAAUCGCAACAUGUUGGUGCCAUGUCAUGACACCAUGCCAAGUUUCAUGAUUUUUAGGUGUGUUUUGGAUUUACAUGAAUUAAAAAACCAAGUUUCUCAAAAUUUCCAGCCGAGCCACGACGCCCAGAUGUUUGAAUUUCAUUCUCAUUUCUCGCAUGGGACCUAUAAAUUCACCCAAGGACACACAUGUGAUUUUUUUCAACCAACUUUGGUGCACUAGAGCAUGUGCAUGUAGCUUAAAUUUGAAUUAUGCACAUUAAAUGACCAAAAAUUCAAUUAAUGUAUAAAAAAGGUCAAACAAACCCGGAAUAAUUCCAAAAUUUAGCACGAUACUUAUAUUUGGUCUAAUCUGCCUGUGUAAAUAAAUUAAGGCGGAGGAAGGCAGUGUACGUAUGUCGUUUCGCACAUGGAGGUGACACGUUCCUCUCGGAACCACAAGCCCUGUUGAGAGAACCUCCGGUUUGCAAGAGGCUUAUACCAAAGCUUGUCCCAAUUCGGCCAAAAAAUUUACCGCAGAAUGUUGGUGUCAUCAUGACACCAUGCCAAGUUUCAUGAUUUUCAGACGUCUUUUAGAUUUACAUCAAUUAAAAAACCAAGUUUCUCAAUCUUUCCGGCCGAGCCAUGACACCCAGAUGUUUGAAUUUCAUUCUCAUUUCUUGCACGGGACCUAGAAAUUCACCCAAGAACACACAUGUGAUUUUUCAACCAACUUUGGUGCAUUGGAGCAUGUGCUUGUAGUUCAAAUUUGAAUUAUGCAUAUUAAAUGACCAUAAAUUCAAUUAAAGUAUAAGAAAGUCCAAACGAACCCGAAAUAAUUCCAAAUUUUAACACGGCACUAAAAUAGUUCUAUGUUGCCUCUGUAAAAAAAUAAGGGGGCGGGAGGCAGCAUAUAUCGUUUCGAACACAAAGGUGACAUGUCCCCCCCCCCUCGGGAACCACGAGUCUUCUCGAGAGAAGCUCCGGUUUGCAAGAAGCUUAUACCAAAAACUUGUCCAAAUGCAGCCAAUUGUUUUACCUCAACAUGUUGGUGCCAUGAAAUGACACCAUGCUAUGUUUCGUGAUUUUCAUGUGAGUUUUGAAUUUCCAGGAAUUUAAAAAUCAAGUUUCUCAAUGUUCCUGACCGAGCCACGACGCCCAGAUAUUUGAAUUUCAUUCCCAUUUCUUGCAUGGGGCCUAUAAAUUCAGCCAAAGACACACAUGUGAUUUUUCAACAAAUUUUGGUGCACUGGAGCAUGUGCUUGUACUUCAAAUUUGAAUUAUGCACAUUAAACGUCAAGAAACUCAAUUAAUCCAUAAAAAUGCCAAACAAAGCCGGAAUAAUUCCAAAUUUAAACAUGACAAUCAUGUAGUUGCAUGUUCACUGUACAUAAAUGUUCUAGCAAUUCAAACACCAUCCCUUCCCUCCAUAACACUGAUAACCCACAAGUGUAGGGGAUCGCAACAGUUUUCGAUAAGUAAGAGUGUCGAACCCAACGAGGAGCUAAAGGUAGAAUAAAUAUUCCCUCAAGUUCUAUCGACCACCGAUACAACUCUACGCACGCUUGACGUUUGCUUUACCUAGAACAAGUAUGAAACUACAAGUACUUUGUAGGUGUGAUAGGAUAGGUUUGCAAGAUGAUAAAGAACACGUAAAUAAAAAGUAGGGGCUGUUUAGAUAAAGAUGCAAUAAAGUAAAUAUAGCGAGUGUGGAAAAGUGGUGGUAGGAGUUGUGGAAUUGUCCCUAACCAAUUGACUAUGUUACUAGACCGGUAAUCACUAUUGCAAUUCUAUUUGAGGGAGAGGCAUAAGCUAACAUACUUUCUCUACUUGGAUCAUAUGCACUUAUGAUUGGAACUCUAGCAAGCAUCCGCAACUACUAAAGAUUCAUUAAGGUAAAACCCAACCAUAGCAUUAAAGCAUCAAGUCCCCUUUUAUCCCAUAUGUAAACAACCUACUUACUCGGGUUUGUGCUUCUGUUCACUCAUGCCACCCACCAUAAGCAAAUCAUAAACAUAUUGCAAACCCUACAGCGGGAAUCCCUCACGCUUGCGCGACACGGAGGGCACCAUAGGACAGCACCAAUAAUAAAACAUGCAACUCAAACCAAUCAUAGCAAUUCAUCAAUCACCGAUAGGACAACGAAAAUCUACUCAGACAUCAUAGGAUGGCAACACAUCAUUGGAAAAUAAUAUGAAGCAUAAAGCACCAUGUUCAAGUAGAGAGUACAGCGGGAUGCGGGAGAGUGGACCGCUGAAUAUAGACGGGGGAAGGUGAUGGAGAUGUUGGUGAAGACGGCGGAGGUGUUGAUGUAGAUCGCGGUGAUGAUGAUGGCCCCCGGCAGCGUUCCGGUGCCACCGGAAGCAAGGGGGAGAGGGCCCCCUUUCUUCUUAUUCUUCCUUGACCUCCUCCCUAGAUGGGAGAAGGGUUUCCCCUCUGGUCCUUGGCUCCCAUGGCGUGGGAGGGGCGAGAGCCCCUCCGAGAUUGGAUCUAUCUCUCUGUUUCUGCGUUCUCUGAUUCUACCCCUUCACCGUUUCCUUUAUAUCUGGAGAUCCGUAACUCCGAUUGGGGUGAAUCUUUUGCUCAGAUUUUUCUCGUAAAAUUAGCUUUCUUGCGGCAAAAGUAGAGCAUCAACCAUCUUACGGGUGGCCCACGAGAGCCCAGGGCGCGCCCAGGGGUAGGGGGCGCGCCCCCUGUCUCGUGGCCACCUCGGACACUGUUUCGCGUUGAUUCUUCCUCCGGAAAAUCCAAAUUUUACAAAAUAAUUCUCCGUCCUUUUUAUCCCGUUUGGACUCCGUUUGAUAUUGGUUUUCUGCGAAACAUAAAACAUGCAACAAACAGGAACUGGCACUGGGCACUGGAUCAAUAUGUUAGUCCCAAAAAUAGUAUAAAAAGUUGCCAAAAAUAUAUGAAAGUUGAAGAAUAUUGGCAUGGAACAAUCAAAAAUUAUAGAUACGACGGAGACGUAUCAGCAUCCCCAAGCUUAAUUCCUACUCGUCCUCGAGUAGGUAAAUGAUAAAAAAAAUUGAUGUGGAAUGCUACCUAGCAUAAUCUUGAUCAUAUGUCUAAUCAUGGCAUGAAUAUUAAGAUACGAGUGAUUCAAUGCAAUAGUCUAUCGUUUGACAUAAAAACAAUAAUACUUCAAGCAUGCCAACCAAACAAUUAUGUCUUAUCGAAAUAACAUAGCCAAAGAAAGCUCAUCCCUACAAAAUCAUAUAGUCUGGCUAUGCUCCAUCUUCGUCACACAAAAUACUACCAUCAUGCACAACCCCGAUGACGAGCCGAGCAAUUGGUUCAUACUUUUUAAAGCGCUUCAGCUUUUUCAACUCUUACGCAAUACAUGAGCGCAAGCCAUGGACAUAGCACUAUGGUGGUAUAUGGUGGUGGUUGUGAGGACAAAAAAAGGGAGAAGAUAGUCUCACAUCAACUAGGCGUAUCAAUGGGCUAUGGAGAUGCCCGUCAAUAGAUAUCAAUGUGAGUGAGUAGGGACUGCCAUGCAACGGAUUCACUAGAGCUAUAAAUAUAUGAAAGCUCAGCAAAAGAAACUAAGUGGGUGUGCAUCCAACUUGCUUGCUCACGAAGACCUAGGGCAUUUUGAGGAAGCCCAUCAUUGGAAUAUACAAGCCAAGUUCUAUAAUGAAAAAUUCCCACUAGUAUAUGAAAGUGAAAGCAUAGGAGACUCUCUCUAUGAAGAACAUGGUGCUACUCUGAAGCACAAGUGUGGUAAAAAGAUAGUAACAUUGCCCCUUCUCUCUUUUUCUCUCAUUUUUUUUCAUUUUUUCUUUCUUUUUGGUGGGCUUCUUUGGCCUCUUUUUUUAUUUGGGCUUCUUUGGCCUCUUUUAUUUUUAAUAAAGUCUAGAGUCUCAUCCCGACUUGUGGGGGAAUCAUAGUCUCCUUCAUCCUUUCCUCACUGGAGCAAUGCUCUAAUAAUGAUGAUCAUCACACUUUUAUUUACUUACAACUCAAUAUUACAACUCGAUACUAGAACAAAGAUAUGACUCUAUAUGAAUGCCUUCGGCGGUGUACCGGGAUGUGCAAUGGUCUAGCAUAGCAACGACAUCAAAAAAACGGACAAGCCAUGAAAACAUCAUGCUAGCUAUCUUACGAUCAUGCAAAGCAAUAUGACAAUGAAUUCUCAAGUCAUGUAUAUGAUGAUGAUGGAAGUUGCAUGGCAAUAUAUCUUGGAAUGGCUAUGGACAUGCCAUAAUAGGUAGGUAUGGUGGCUGUUUUGAGGAAGGUAAAUAAUGAGUUCAUGAUACCGGCGAAAUUUGCUCGGCACAAUAGAGGCUAGCAAAGUGGAAGGGUGAGUGUGUGUAUAUCCAUGGACUCACAUUAGUCAUAAAGAACUCAUAUACUUAUUGCAAAAGUCUACUUAGCCCUCGAAGCAAAGUACUACUACGCAUGCCCCUAGGGGGAUAGAUUGGUAGGAAAAGACCAUCGCUCGUCCCCGACUGCCACUCAUAAGGAAAGCAAUCAAACAGCACAUCAUGCUCCAACUUCAUUACAUAAUGGUUCACCAUACGUGCAUGCUACGGGACUUGCAAACCUCCACACAAGUAUUUCUCAAUUUCACAAUUACUCAACUAGCACGACUCUAAUAUCACCACCUUUAUAUCACAAAACUAUUGCAAGGAAUCAAACAUAUCAUAUUCAGCGAUCUACAAGUUUAUGUAGGAUUUUAUAACUAACCAUGUGAAUGACCAAUUCCCGCCAUCUCUCUAAAAAGAUAUAAGUGAAGCAAGAGAGUUUAAUUCUUUCUACAAAAGAUAUGCCCACGCUCUAACAAAUAUAAAUGAAGCAAAAGAGCAUUCUACAAAUGGCGGUUUUCUAUGUGAAGAGAAACAGGCAAUCCAAACUUCAAACGAUAUACGUGAAGCACAUGAAGCAUCCACUACUAGGGAAAAGCCUAGCAGCAGCGCGGGUUUUAGGCCUAUCAGUAGCGUGGGCAGGAGCGCUACUGAUAAGGCGCUACAGCUAAAGCUUAGCAAUAGCGUGCCUAGACCCACGCUACUGCUAAAUUGACUUAGUAGUAGCGCUUCUCCAGAAGAGCGCUACUGGUAAUUAGUAGUAGCGCUUCUCCUUGCCCGCACUACUACUAUUAUUUAGUAUUUUAUUUCUUUUUUAUUUCAUGUUGUAUUCAUACACCUUUACACAAGUUUUCAUACAACAGGAAUUUAGAGAUUGUUUUUACAUCAUAAUGAGUUAUUACAUCACGGGGUGAAAGAACCAUGGACUAGUUUCAAGUGGAUGUCCAUCCACUUGAAACUAAUCCGCGGUUCUUUCACCCAAUGAUAUAAUAAUAUCAUCAUCAUCAUCAUAUCAUUAACAACUUAUCAUCAUAAUACAUCAUUGUCAUAUAACACCUCCUCAAGAUCAACUUAGCAAAUUGGUCACUAGUCGUAAUCACAAGUACUCCUCAUUAUCAACUCUAACACAUUACCACAUAAUAAACAUAUUGUACCUCAUAGGGCCUACUACAUUCGAUUAAGACCUACUACAUUUUCUAAGGUAAAAUAGCAAAAAAACAAGAUAGCCCCUGACUCUCCAUUAUGGAGAAUGGAGAUUAGCCUGUCUCCAAUUCUUUCCUUUCGCUGAAUGUUACUUCCAAGAACCUCCUUGCGAAUGUCCAUACAUUUCUUCCAUUCUUUGAUGAACAUGUGUUCACCGGUUUUAGAAAUCCGAUAUGCACAGGUGAGCUCCCUAGAUUUACCUGGUAGUAUGUUCAGAACUGUAAGGCGACCAUUCAGAUACAUCAGAUGAGGCACACAAUCCAUCGGGAGUUUCUGUUGAAAAACAUAGUAAUAACUUCAUAGUUAGCAAUGAUGUACUAGUUUUAGAAGUAUGCAAAAGAUGCACGGAUGUCGUAAUAGUAAAAAAUCUUACAAGGGUAUCUCCAGAGAAGUUACCGUGGUUCAACACGUGCACUAGUGGCACGUAUUCACCAUAAUUUGGAGGAGUUCGAUAAUAGUUAUUGUAAUCCUCAAGAAGAGUACAAAAUGCGAUCUGAUGAUUUUUCUCCUUAUAAGUUAAUUCGGAGCCAUCAGUGUAGUGGGUUUUGUCUACCAUCUUCCGCACAGUCUUUGAAGAAUCAAAAUAAGCUGUCAAUGGAAAUAAGUUGUCAACUAUUUUGAAAUAAACAUUAUAAAUUAGUUAAUAACUAUGUUUGAGAAACUCACAUAGCGGUACAAUCGGAAGCAUAUCAACAAGGACCCAAAUGUCCAUAUUGUCUUGCUCGAUGUCAGGAUUACCAAGAUCCAUGGUGACAAUCAUACCCUCAUAAAAACCAUACAUUUUGCAAAGUGCUUCCCAAUUUUGGCAACCAAAAUGGGUUACACUCUGAGCAUUGCACAAAUUUACUUCAAAAUCCAUAUCAUGAUGGGUCCUUAGGUGUAUUUUCUUUGUUUCAAAAUUUUCAUGGUCUUCAAAACCCAUCCUCUCCAAGACAUAGCGUCUUGCAUGGCAUGGGAUAAGCUAGUCAAAUUGUAAAAGAUGAAAAUUAGACGUUGAAAUAGUUGAAGUCAUGCUUAAUUACGAAAAAAAACACUUGUCAUUGUUCCGUACCGUUUCAACAUCGAAGGUCUCCUCGAGCUUAAUGCUGAAGCGCCGAUCUUCAUCCAGCUCAACGAACCUAUCGCACAUACCUCGAUCGUCGUGGCACCAGCUGCACUCCCCCGGGAGACUGUCGUCGUCCGAGUACGACAUUUCCUACGUUCAUAAUUCAAAGAUUAAACUUGUACAUAUUCUAGCACAAGUCGUGCCAGAAUUCACGGAAAAAUCCGGCAUGACCUUUGCGAAAAAAGGACAUAUCGAGCGCCUGAAAUUUGCCGGAACGGAAAUUAAUCAACACUCCGGCAAAACAUAGGCCACUCGGAGGUGUAACCAAAACAUGAAAUAAUUGAUGAAACUAAAAAAUAACAACAAAUAUGACAUGUUCAACUAGUUCUAUUAAUUCAACUAGUUCUUACUAAUUAUAAACUUACUAUAAAUAGAAAGAAACUAGUUCUUUCUAAAAAUAAAGUAGUUCAACUAGUUAUUAAUUUACUUACUAAACUAGUUCAACUAAAACUAAACUAGUUCAACUAAAACUAAACUAGUUCUAUUAAUUCAAUUCGUUCUUACUAAAUAUAAACUUACUAUAAAUAGAAAGAAACUAGUACAUCUACUACUACUAAUUAACAUCUACUACUACAUCUACUACUAAUUAACAUCUACUACUGCUAAUUAUACAACUAGUUUACCAUCACUACUACUAAUUAAUAUCCACUACUACUAAAAAUCAUUAUCUAUGAACCCUAAAUUAACAUCUACUAGUACUAAAAUCAUCUACUAACUAAGCAAAGAGGGAGGGGUAGGGGAGGGGUGGGGGGCUUACAGAGGGAGAGACGGUGGCGGGGAGGUGCUCAGCGACGAAGGUAGGGGCGGCGAGGGUGGGCUCGGGAUCGGGAGGCGGCGGUCCUGGAGUAGGUCGAGAGCGGCGGCGGGCGGCGGCGGUGAGGGUGUGGUCGAGAGCGGCGACAGGCGAGGAGGCGGCGAGGGUGUGGUCGAGAGCGGCGGCGGGCCGCAACGGUCAGGUUGAGUGCGGGCUCGGGCGGCGGCGGUGAGGGCAGGCUCGGGCUCGGGCGGCGGCGACAGGAGUAGGGGAACAGGCCGGGGGGUGAAAGGAGGACUUAGCAAAAAUUUUGAGCUGGGGGUGGUUAAGUCGAACUAGCAGUAGCGCUCAUAAGGAAAAUGCGCUAUAGCUAACUUAUCUAUAGCGUGUUCUAGUGAAAAAUGCUACUGCUAAUGGAAGCAGUUAUUUCUUUUAUUUAUCCCAAUAUCAGUAACGCUUUGUCCUGAAAAAAUGCUCUAAGUCUAAGCAAUGUAAAAACAUCAAAAAUAUACAUUGGUCAUCAUUGAUCUUUUUGUUUAGAAUCUAAAUAGUCAACAUGAAUCCUCACUGUACCUGUAUAGGUACAGGCGAGGAUUCAUAUUGCAGCCACAAAUCAUACACAUAUAGUUCAAUGAAGACCAAGUGCUCGAGAUAGGUUGAGAAGUAACAUAUUUAAGGUGGUAAACACCUUGUUCUCCUAGCAGUAUGGGACUAAACUUAAUUAGUUGCGGUGAUACUUAGCAGUAGCGAGUUUUGAUGAAAAACGCUGCUACUAAGUACUUUAGCAGUAGCGCGUCCCUUGGAAGGGCGCUACUACUAUAUCUAGCCUGGAGGCAACACCGUGGCAAUUAUAGUAGUAGCGCUCGUUUCACCUAGAGCGCUACUGCUAAUUAUAUAUUAGUAGCGCUCUUUACUGAAGCUUGCUACUGCUAAUUAGCAGUAGCGUCUGUUUUUAAACCACACUGCUGCUAAGAUUCUGUGUAUAAGGUUUUCCCUAGUAGUGAUUCUAUAAAGCCAUACUCAAAAGAUUUAAAUGAAGUGCAAUGAGAAUUCUAUAAAUCAACCAGGGACUAUCUCAUACCAGCAUGGUGCAUAAAACAAAAGUGAAAACUAAAUGCAAAAGACGCUCCAAAACUUGCACAUAAUGCAUGAACGAAAUGAAUCCGAAAACAUACCGAUACUUGUUGAAGAAAGAGGGGAUGCCUUCCGGGGCAUCCCCGAGCUUAGACGCUUGAGUCUCCUUGAAUAUUUACUUGGGGUGCCUUGGGCAUCCCCAAGCUUGAUCUCUUGCCUCUCUUCCUUUUCCUCAUAUCGAAACCUCCUCGAUUAGACACUUCAUCCACACAAAACUUCAACGAAAAACUCGGUAAGAUCCGUUAGUAUAAUAAAGCAAAUCACUACUCUAAGUACUGUUGCAAACCAAUUCAUAUUUUUUUUUUGCAUUGUGUCUACUGUAAUAUAACUUUUCCAUGGCUUAAUCCACUAAUAUAAAUUGAUAGUUUCAUCAAAACAAGCAAACUAUGCAUCAAAACAGAAUCUGUCAAAAAUAGAACAUUCUGUAGCAAUCUGAACAUUCACCAUACUUCUGUUACCCCAAAAAUUCUACCAAAAUUAGGAAAACUAAACAAGUUGUACAGCAAGACAGUGCAAAAGGAGUCAGAACCGUUUGACUUUCCAGUUAGAAAUGUAAAAUCGCACACUACAGCCAAAGAUUCUGUCCUGCACCAUACAAACCAACAAGCAUUGUAAACAUCCUAAAGGCAAACCUUGGCACAUUACUUUUAUAAUACAAUGGAAUUGUACAAGGGGAUAAUUAUUUUUGAUGGAAAGUUUCUGUAAUCAAGAUUCACAAAGUUUCCGUGAGCAUGAACAAAGUUCAAGGAGCUCUCCCACAUCAACAAUGCUUAUCUCUCUCACUUUCACUUUCCUUUUUGAAAAUUUUUUAGGUUCCCCUCUUUAUUAUUUUUUUGUUUUUAAACUAUAUGAAAGCACUCAACAGAAAUAAAUGACUCUCUAAAACUUCCGGGUUGUCUCCCUGGCAGCGCUUUCUUUAAAGCCAUUAAGGUAGGCAUAUAGUGCUCAAGUAAUGAAUCCACCCGGAUCCCAAGGUAUAUCAAAGCCAAUUUUAAUUAACAAUGAUUUGUAAUUUAGUAGUGAGCACAAAGUAUUAUAUAUCAAGCAACAACGAAGUCUAACUCUCUUCCUAUGCAUCGGCAUGUCAUAAAAGAACAAUUCAUGCACACAUAAUAAAGGCCAACGCAUAGUAUAAGUAGUUUCUUGCAAUUUCAUAGUAUGGGAAACAUAGAGAGGUGGAUAAAUAGUUCCUCUCUCAUAAUAAUUGCAAGUAGGAGCAGCAAGCACAUGCAUAUUACAUUCAUCAAAAUCAUCAUGUGCAAUGGUAAAAGGCAACCCAUCAAUAUAAUCCUUAAUAAGCAUAAACUUCUCCGAUAUAGUGUAGUAGGGAGAAUUCAGAAAGAUAAUAGGACUAUCAUGCGUGGGUGCAAUAGCAACAAUUUCAUGUUUAACAUAAGGAACUAUAGCAAGUUCAUCUCCAUAAGCAUAAUUCAUAUUGGCAUCUCGGCCACAAGCAUAGCAAGCAUCAUCAAAAAGGGAUAUUUCAAACAAAUUCAAGGGAUCAUAGCAAUCAUCAUAGAAUCAUCCUUCAGUAAGCACGAAGGGGAAUUAAAUAAUGUAUGAGUUGGAGGGUUACUCUCAUUAGAAGCUGGGCACGGGUAGCUAAUCCGCUCUUCCUCCUUUUGUUCUUCGCUCUCCUCAUCAUCUUUUUCCAAUGAGCUCACAGUUUCAUGAAUUUCUUCUUCCAUAGCUUCCUGCAAAAUAUUAGUCUCUUCUUGGACAGCAGGGUAGGCCUCAAUAUAUAGUUUAACAUAGGCAUUAGAAGCAUAAUUAUCAUAGCAAUAUUCAAGUAUGGCAAAAUUUUCAGAUUUGUAGAGAGUAGCAUCAUAUUUUUCAAUCAAAGAAGCAAUUUCAUAUGCACCCUUAAAAGCAACAAAUUCUUCAAUUUGUUGAACAUCAUAGUAAUUAUAAACACCCUUAGCAUAUGAAUAUACGAUUCCAUUAUCACUAAACAAGAAUUGUUAGGGAAGGUGUUUCUUAGGGUUUUCAGAACAACAAGUAACAUCAUAUAAUUCACAUAAAGUCCAAGCAUAGCAUUGCAAACAUUAAAUUUGAUCCCAUAAUAGUUUCCCUUUUUCAUAUAUACGGUGUCGCACAUAACAAGCAUGCUCAUCUAAAGAUUUGCCCUCAACUAAGCUAGUUGGGGUUUCAGCACGAGCACAAAGGGAUCGAAGAUGAUCCAAGUAAAAAGCUUCAGUAGUGUGAUAGAUUUUGAGUGGUUCUUCAACCAUUGGUGCAGUAGGUACAACUAAUUUUUUUGGUAUUUUGCGUUUCCUACCCAUAACUAAAGAUAGAAAACAACUAAGAACAGCAAAUAAAAAUUACUUAGUGAUAAAGCAAACAAGCACAAACGAGAAUAUUCACCCCACGCUAUGACUCCCCGGCAACGGCGCCAGAAAAAGGUCUUGAUAACCCACAAGUAUAGGGGAUCGCAACAGUUUUCGAUAAGUAAGAGUGUCGAACCCAACGAGGAGCUAAAGGUAGAAUAAAUAUUCCCUCAAGUUCUAUCGGCCACCGAUACAACUCUACGCACACUUGACGUUCGCUUUAACUAGAACAAGUAUGAAACUAGAAGUACUUUGUAGGUGUGAUAGGAUAGGUUUGCAAGAUGAUAAAUAACACGUAAAUAAAAAGUAGGGGCUGUUUAGAUAAAGAUGCAAUAAAGUAAAUAUAGCGAGUGUGGAAAAGUGGUGGUAGGAGUUGUGGAAUUGUCCCUAACCAAUUGACUAUGUUACUAGACCGGUAAUCACUAUUGCAAUUCUAUUUGAGGGAGAGGCAUAAGCUAACAUACUUUCUCUACUUGGAUCAUAUGCAAUUAUGAUUGGAACUCUAGAAAGCAUCCGCAACUACUAAAGAUUCAUUAAGGUAAAACCCAACCAUAGCAUUAAAGCAUCAAGUCCCCUUUUAUCCCAUACAUAAACAACCUACUUACUCUGGUAUGUGCUUCUGUUCACUCACUCCACCCACCAUAAGCAAAUCAUAAACAUAUUGCAAACCCUACAGCGGGAAUCCCUCACGCUUGCGCGACAUGGAGGGCACCAUAGGAGAGAACCAAUAAUAAAACAUGCAACUCAAACCAAUCAUAGCAAUUCAUCAAUCACCGAUAGGACAACGAAAAUUUACUCAGACACCAUAGGAUGGCAACACAUCAUUGGAAAAUAAUAUGAAGCAUAAAGCACCAUGUUCAAGUAGAGAGUACAGCGGGAUGCGGGAGAGAGGACCGCUGAAUAUAGACGAGGGAAGGUGAUGGACAUGUUGGUGAAGACGGCGGAGGUGUUGGUGUAGAUCGCGGUGAUGAUGAUGGCCCCCGACAGCGUUCCGGCGCCACCGGAAGCAAGGGGGAGAGGGCCCCCCUUCUUCUUAUUCUUCCUUGACCUCCUCCCUAGAUGGGAGAAGGGUUUCCCCUCUGGUCCUUGGCUCCCAUGGCUUGGUAGGGGCGAGAGCCCCUCCGAGAUUGGAUCUAUCUCUCUGUUUCUGCGUUCUUUGAUUCUACCCCUUCACCGUUUCCUUUAUAUCUGGAGAUCCGUAACUCCGAUUGGGGUGAAUCUUUUGCCCAGAUUUUUCUCGUAAAAUUAGCUUUCUUGCGGGUGGCCCAGGAGAGCCCAGGGCGCGCCCAGGGGUAGGGGGCGCGCCCCCCUGUCUCAUGGCCACCUCGGACACUGUUUCGCGUUGAUUCUUCCUCCGGAAAAUCCCAAAUAUUCCAAAAUAAUUCUCCGUCCGUUUUUAUCCCGUUUGGACUCCGUUUGAUAUUGGUUUUCUGCGAAACAUAAAACAUGCAACAAACAGGAACUGGCACUGGGCACUGGAUCAAUAUGUUAGUCCCAAAAAUAGUAUAAAAAGUUGCCAAAAAUAUAUGAAAGUUGAAGAAUAUUGGCAUGGAACAAUCAAAAAUUAUAGAUACGACGGAGACGUAUCAAACACCAUUUUGUCUUUCAAAACAUAAAGAAAAAAGGUAUACCACAAACAGUUUACUAGAAAGAAUCGUGUGGGAUGCAAUAUAAAACAUCUUGGCGCACCGUCUUGUCUGGCUUACGCAGGAAGCUUCGUGGUCUACAGUCCAUCGCUCCCACUUGAACCACACUUGCGCGCAAGUUUCUCGCGGCACCGAGCGAAAAAAAUUUGCCACCGUGGAAAUAUCUAUCUCCCCACCCCCUCCGUCCCACCAAAAGCCACAUUUCCAUUGUUCCACCUUGCUUUCCAAGUUCAAACCUUCACUUCUGCUUACUGGCAGCUCAGCCUCCUCGGCGGCGACCCUUCUUCUUGUAGCGCCACCUCCUUGCCAGCUACCCUUCUUCUUGCAGCUCCGCCUCCUCGUCGGUGACCCUUCUUCUUGCUGCGCGUCCUCCUCACCGCUGACCCUUCUUCUUGCUAUGUAGCCUCGUCGAUAUGGUCAGGUAAUCCACAUCCCACCCACACCAUCCUCCUUCUUUCCCGUCCCACAUGCCCCGACCGACGGCGCGAAACCUUCCGCCGAAAUCACUGUCCCCCUACUCCAACUAAGCACCGCCCACAGCCAUUUUGCAUGCAGUAUAACAUGGAGCUCAGUAGCAUAUGGUAGCGGAGAAGCAAAUUACGGCCGCAGACGCGCACGAGGUUUCUAUGGCUGCCAUGCGUGCCGACCGCCAAAACUUGGAGGAGCACCUUGUCUUCGAGGCCAUCAUCGACACCGCCACGCGGUUGUCCACUUUAAAAUACAGUUUGUGCUGUUUUCUUGAGGCCACCGCCAAUGUCUUCUAGUGAUUUGCCCUCUGUAAUGCUAAUAUGCAAUCUGAUGUUCAGUUUAUAGUUUGGUCCUCUGAAAUGUAAUGUUCAGUUAACAGUUUGGUCCAACAAUUGCUGCAUUUCGUAGAAGUUUUCUCAAGCAUUUUUGUUUUGUUAACUGUCUUAUCUUCUAGUACAUGUUUCUAUUCUGCAAUGUCGGGCUUAGUUAACUAUUUUGAUUCAUUUGGUAUGUUGUCCAUUUAACUGUUUGGUACAGUUCUGCAAUUUGAUUUCCAUUUGCUGUGGGUACAAUUUUGUAUUGUUACGCAUGUGAAAUAAAUUGAAUUUGGCUUUACUCAAUAGAUAUUCUAUUGAUAUUAUGACAACUCUUAGUUAACCUGGUCAAGAUCUUCCUUAUGUGUGUUGCUAGGAAACAAUGGGACACACCGCGGUUUACCAUCGAGGUUUGUUCAAGCAUGGUCCUUUGGCUAAUAGCACAUUAUUGUGGAUUUGCAGGAAUCAUUCUAAUAUUUAGGUUUCUUACAAUUUGGUCUUGCACAUGUAGGUCCUGCUAUCAGAGGCUUGGACCCACUAUUCGACCCAUUUUGCAUAUGAGGAAAUGAGAUGUCUGUGAAUAUAAGUCAAGUUAAGAAACUCAGAAAGAUUGUUAGGAUGAAGAAACUUGCGAAGAAUAACAGCAAGAUCUUUGUUUGCACAAUGAAGAAGACAUCAGUCAAUUAUAGGAUGGUACUAACUCUUUUACCUUGUUUUUACCCCUUGCACCAUCAGUCGACUAUAGGAUGGUACUAACUCUUUUACCUUGUUUGCAUAUCUUUGUUUUCAGAACUUUUCAAAAUAGUUCACCAAUGAUUACCUCUCAAACCACCUGCAUGGUCAAGAGGCGAGGAAGGUAUUCAUUCAACACCCACGAUACAACAUUGAAGUCUUGCUGAAGAGGACGAAGGUUGGACGGGCAAUUAUCCAUAGCCACUGGCCUAAAGUUGCAAGGACAUUCAACAUGACUGAAGUCUCAACUUUGCCUUCCGCUUUUGCACUUUCCCAGAUGAGAUUCAUCUAUCUAUUUACCGUGUAUGAUGCUAUUCCAAAGGUUUUUGAUGUUGCAUGUGUAACUUGGUGCUGUUGUGUAAUGGCAGAACUGAGUGCUGAAGCUAUUUGAUGUAAUUCGAUUAUGAAAUCCUGGUUGCUGUAAUACGGAUAUGAAAUAUCUAGUGUGUUUUAUAAGAAAUAUCAAUUUGAUUAGUACAUGGAUUAUCAGUAAUAGGCUAAUUACCCUGCUUAUUGGGGUUUUCUGUUGCAGACGGUUACUCAGACAACACCAUGGGCGAUGAACUCAAACAACACGCACAGUUUCUAGAAAGUAGGUGUGUUCGGUCAACUAACAAUCACACAUGGCUUCCGGUAGAGAAUUGUUUGCGUUAGGCCACCUUGCACAAAUGUUUCCACACAAAAAACUGUGUGAUAUACAUACGAGCGGAAAUGUUUUUUCUGGGAUUCAUCAUGUGGGAUGUACAUACGAACGGAAACAAUUGGGUUUCGAUGCCCCACCAGAUCGCACACGAACUCAUUUUUCCCCAGCCAGUGUGCCAGGAGGGCCUAUCCCCGACGGUUUCUGGGUCGUAUGGGAAGGACCCCCCCCCCCCAUCGCCCACACNNNNNNNNNNNNNNNNNNNNNNNNNNNNNNNNNNNNNNNNNNNNNNNNNNNNNNNNNNNNNNNNNNNNNNNNNNNNNNNNNNNNNNNNNNNNNNNNNNNNNNNNNNNNNNNNNNNNNNNNNNNNNNNNNNNNNNNNNNNNNNNNNNNNNNNNNNNNNNNNNNNNNNNNNNNNNNNNNNNNNNNNNNNNNNNNNNNNNNNNNNNNNNNNNNNNNNNNNNNNNNNNNNNNNNNNNNNNNNNNNNNNNNNNNNNNNNNNNNNNNNNNNNNNNNNNNNNNNNNNNNNNNNNNNNNNNNNNNNNNNNNNNNNNNNNNNNNNNNNNNNNNNNNNNNNNNNNNNNNNNNNNNNNNNNNNNNNNNNNNNNNNNNNNNNNNNNNNNNNNNNNNNNNNNNNNNNNNNNNNNNNNNNNNNNNNNNNNNNNNNNNNNNNNNNNNNNNNNNNNNNNNNNNNNNUAAAUCCUAAAAGAUUCCCAAACCAUCAGAGGAAUCCACAAAAGUACUUUUUCGCAGCUGCAAGCCUCUGUUCCCGUGAGAUCCCGUCUUGGGGCCUUUUUCGGUGAUCUUUCGGAGGGGGAAUCGAUCACGGAGGGCAUCUACAUCAACUUUGUUGCCCUUCCGAGGAAGCAUGAGUAGUUUACCACAGACCUACGGGUCCAUAGAUAGUAGCUAGAUGGCUUCUUCUCUCUCUUUGAUCGUCAAUACAAUGUUCUCCUUGAUGUUCUUGGAGAUCUAUCCGAUGUAAUCUUAUUUUGCGGUGUAUUUGUCGAGAUCCAAUGAAUUGUGGUUUUAUGAUCACCUUUUCUAUGAAUAUUAUUUGAAUCUUCCCUGAAUUCUUAUAUGCAUGAUUUGAUAUCUUCGUAUUUCUCUUCGAGGUCUGCAUUGUCUUAGUUCGAACAGUAUCACAAAGCCAUUUGCAGAUAUGUGAAAGUAUUUUUCUCUCAAAGAAAGGGAGGGCCCUUAAGAACUGCAGAUAGGGUGUGUCAGGUACAUCCUUGCUGGCAUGGGUAUAAAGAUAGCUUGUUCUAUGGUUAAGUUUAUAGACAUGAUCAUCUGAGCUAGUUCUAGCAAUGAUACGAAAAUAUAGCAGAAUAUGAACACACGCUUGUGGUUUGUGGUGAACUAAAACUACUAGUAGAAUGCCCGUGCGUUGCUACGGGCUUUUGAAAUAUUUUCCUUGAGUUAUGUGAACAUCAUUGAACAUACUCAUCAGAAUACCAGUUGGAAAUAAAUGUUGCCAUAAACAUUUAUCAUAAUUCCAGCCAGUUUGCUUUAUUUUGAGUGUGUUGUUGUUGUGGGAUAUCAUCACUUGCACAUUUUUUGUUGUAUAAAACAUGGUGAAUUUUUGUCCCCUUCCAAUGAUGUCGCCCCAAAAACCCUCUGAAUGGGUUUCUUUUUGAACCCGACAUAAUCCAUCUCCAUCUCUCUCAUAUUCUACAAAAUUAAAUACAUAUAUAGAAGUAUACCUUUUGAGUAUUAUAUCAUGUGCAACAUACUACAAAGAAGAACAAUUAUUUGCAUGCACCUCUUUUGGUUGUGUAAAACUCGUUGAAUUCUUAGCCCCCUCCAUCAUCGUUACAUCAGGGUCUUUGUCAGUCGACAUCUCCGAAGCACAAUCAAAUCCAUCAGUUUUUAUGACCUACAAAGGUAUUCUAAUAUAAACAAAGAUUAGAAUACCUUUUUUAUGAUGGUGGUAUGGAAAAUAUAUAUUCAUUGGACAAAUUCUAGAAAUGAGCAGUUUCUAGUAGAUUGAGUGGCAUCCCAAUUUUAAUAAUUUUAGGCUCACCUCUAAAUCACAUGUUGAUGGUUAUUCUUACGAAUAUCUAUUAUUUAGGGUAUGUGGUAUAUCGCCCUUAAAAUACUAUGUUACAUUUCUCCACGAGCAAAGAACGGAUUUCCCCUUUAUAUAAUGAUAGUCGGUCAUCCGUAAUUUCUUGGAUAUUUUUAAGUAAUUUAUUGAGAAAAUAUUUUAUGCCAUUCUGAAUAUAUAUAUAGUGUACACGUAUAAAUAAAGCUUUAUUUUUAUGAUAUUCCCAUUAUACCCCUCCUAUACAACUUGUUGUCCUCUCCUGCACGGCCGCACUCUAUCCACUCCCUCUCCGCACCACUCACUCUCUUGUUCCCCUCCCUCUCUAGAUCCAUAGACUUCACCGCCGUCGCUCACUCUCCUCUCUCCGCCCUCGCCACCACAACCAACAGAAUCGGUGACCUCAUCUCCCACCCCUCCACCCUUUCAUCCCUCCCCUCUUCUCACCAAAAUUAGUGAAGGGGGGAUCAAGAUACCAGAUGGUUUCCUGAUCCGCCCACAAACCGGCGAACAACAUCACGCCAAGGUCACCAACGCCGUCAUGAAAUGACAGGCUUCUUCCACCUCGACAGACUUGCUCGCGCACCAAGAUAUGAGAGGGGGCCUUCUACUUCCCGCUCGCUCAUCCCCUUUGGUCAAGCCAUGGAUCAACCUUCCUCUACUCUGACCCAUGCCAUGGACCGAGCGCACUUCCCUCCUCAAGGUCAUCUCUUCACCCCUUUCCUCGUGUGGCAUGUUGCACCGCUAACCCUCACCUUAUCUCCCUCCCUUUCCUCCCAUAUCGAGACAUGCAUGUGUUUCUGCUCGGCCGCUUCACCUCACCGCCGCCUUUGUGGCACGUCGGCCGGGAUUCUUCCUCAUGUCCGCUAGAUCCCAGCGUCGUCAAUUUCAUUCGACUAGGUCAAAGAAGAUGAAAGUUGCUGCAUUCCGUCAUCCACGCACCCCACUGCAAGACACCAAACACAACCGCAACAGCCGGCACGAACGCCACCCGAGAGAGAGUGAAGCGCCGACCAUCAGACACAAACCUUACCGGAUCUGAAGACCGGCAAGAAGACCGAGCCACCUGCUCCCCAGCACCGCCCAUUAGAGCGCCAUCGAGAUGGAGGUAGAGCAGAAGCAAAUUAUUUUGACGCGGCGCCGUUCACACCAUUGAUGCAGCACCUCUGGAAAAAAAAAACUAUGCCUAUCCUAUAUCCCUACCUGACAGAAACAGUUGUGACCUAUUUGUCUUGUUAAAAUAGUGGAUCAACAGCACACGAUGGUAUGUAGCAUGACUCUGCACAGAUAGCUUUCUUAUAAAUUUGUGGCAUGGAGGUUUCGUGGUGUAGUUGGUUAUCACGUCAGUCUAAUUUGUGGCAUGGAGGUUUCGUCAUGUAGUUGGUUAUCAUCCCUUCUCGAUGUAAUAGAGAAUGUAAUAGGCCUUUUGGUUCUCUUGAGUUAUUUUAACUUCUAUAUUGGAAAGAACUGAAUAUUAUGUACCUUCGCCAGAAGGGCUAAUGUAGUCCCUGCUAAAGUGAUCCUCCUCCUGCUAGUGAUCAGAGGCCGGUCUUUUGCUGUUGGUCUUCUCAUGCUGCGGUUUUCCUCUUCCUUAUGGUUUCAUUUGCCGCAGUAUUUUCUUUUCUUCUGAUUGCCGAGUUAUGUAGUAUUAGAUUGUCGAGUUUUGUGGUUUACAGCACAGGAUUUUGUUUUUACAAAAGGUGGAUCCCAACAAGACACGAUGGUAUGCACAUCUUAUAGUCUAUCUGUCUUAUUGAGAAAAUACAUUAAUGUCUCGUGGUGUAGUAGGUUAUCACGCCAGUCUAACACACUACAUGAAGAAGCCAAAUUGUUAUUGUUUUUUCUUUUCUGCAAAAUUACAAAAUGCACCAAUAAAUCUUUGUCAUUUGCUAGUUUCCCAUUUCAGUGCCUAUGUUUGUAAGUAUUCUUCCCUCUUGGAAUCUCCGUUUUGCCACUGUUUCUCACUUUCUGUGAUGUGAUGUGUGCGCAAAUAUUCCCACAACAACUAAACAAUAAUAAAGCCAUAUACGCAAGCGACCGAAUAAUGGCAACUUCAUAUUGCCACUCAAGGCGCAUCUCCAAACCGACCUGUCAUGUCCAUAGUUGCGUCUCAACACUCGGGGCAGAAAGGCUCGCUCUCAACCACUGCUUCAUAUCACCGGAUCCACACGGCCAAAUAGUGUCCUCCAUUUUCGAAGUGAUGACAGUAUAUCUCGUGGGAAAAUUGUUUCCACAAUUCGAUAUCCCUCCCGUUGAUGAAAAAAUCACGUUCGGCUUCGGCAUCACAGAAUGCACUUAACGAAAAUUGUUUUCUUCGUUCUGAGCUGGAAUAAUGUAUUCCCUCCCAUAAAAUAAAAUCAUCAAUAGUUCACUUCUCUAUAUACCUGGAUGGAAAGUAAUGGCCAAUGUGGAUCACCCAAGAUGGCACGCCAAGUGUUGUUUAACUCCACUAUGUAGACAAGUCAUUAUAUGCACACAAUUAUGUAAGAAAAAUAAAUAGGUCAAGAACUGUUUGGCCAUAGAUGGAGCUUUCUACAGAUGGGUACAAGAAUUUGGCACCACCCACUCAGUUUACCUCUCACCUUUUUGAUUGCUUUCAUAUGUAAAAAAUAGUGAGUGGAUUUGCGAUCUGCCUUAAAAUGACAAGACGGGGGUUGGGGGUUUUAAAAAAUUCCAAAUGCAUUCUUUAUAUUCACAUGUUUAUUUAUUUUGUAUUUGUUUGUGCAUGUCAUAAAAUCAUAAAUUUGCACAAGCAUGCAUAAUACUCAAUGAUCUACAAUGACAAUAGGCUUUAAGAUUUUUCAAAGCAUGAGAAAAAAAUCAAAUGACGUCAGCUGGAAAUUAAAGAUAUGUUCAGACUUCCAAACAAUUAUGAUCUCUUUGGUCCAAACUUCAAAGGAACCAUUAUUGAAAAUUUGGUGAUUCUAGUUGUUAGAAUAUUUUCCUACGGGACUAGUAGGGCUGGGAACCAUAAUGUUAUUCUAUGGCCAUGUAUUCGUAGGAAAAUUUAUGUCGAGCCAAAUCUUCUGGAAAUAAUUCCGUUAGUUCAAUGACAACUAUGUGCUUGCACCUAAUGUUUUGGAAAGUUCUUGUGUUUUGUUUUCCUUCUGCAGUAAAUCAACAUCCAUAUUUUAUACAUUACUCUAUCUUUAAUUCCCACGGGAUCCAACACAGCAUGGCAUGAAAUAUGUAUGUUAAUUUUUCCAGUUCCCUCUUUUAAAAAUGCCGCAAACAGAUGUGCCAUGUAAUCUUCAAAAAAAAAGUGGGAGUGAGAUAGUUAUUGAAAUGCAUGUAGGCUGGAGACUAAAAUUUCAGUAAAAUUCAGCUUAUAACACUAAAACUGAAAAGGUUGUCAAACCUAUGGCAACCAAGAGCCAGCAAGAUUUUUUAAAGAAAAAAUAUUUUCGGCGACCUCCACCUAAGAAGUCCUAGCUUUUUUCCUUGUCCUGACAUUCAAAAAACACUGAGUGAUGGUUAUCAGCCGAAUAUAUUCACUAAGGGCAUGCACGAAAGAGAGCUAUUUAUUUAUUGCUAAGGUUUCAGAAUUUAGUUUGAUUUUGAUUUAAUUUGAAAUUCAUAAUUUACCGAGAAAUACAACUAUAAAUUCAAGCAUCCCUAAACUAAAUAAAAACGUAUCUAUAUUUGGAAAAAUUUGAUGUUUUUUUAUAAACUUGUUAAAACAUGGAAACAUUUGACAUUUGAAAAAAAAAAUCAGUACAGCUAAUAUUUUGAAAAAGGAAGUUAGUACGUACACCAAUAAUUCGAUAUACCCACAAAAUAUUGGCCGUAGUUCCUUUAGUGGUUCCUUUGAUGUAAGAAACAAGCUAGUAGAGACAAAGGGAAUCAAAUCAUGGGAGGAGGUGGCCCUAUCCUUAUUCCUCUUCCCCACGCGGUUGCUCUCGUCCAUCCUUUACCAAAAGUGCAGCAUCUCUCAUCUCCGUCUUCAUCUUCUCUUCCUCCUCCUUCCUUGAUGCUCACUCGCCUAUAAAUAGCCCUCGCUGCCUGCCAUUGUUACUCAAGCCAGCAAGCAAGAAGCACACAGGAAGCUCCUAGCCAACACCAAUCAAAGCCUCCAUCCAAUCCCAAGCAACCUCGAGGAUGUCUUGCUGCGGAGGAAACUGCGGCUGCGGCAGCGCCUGCAAGUGCGGCAACGGCUGCGGCGGCUGCAACAUGUACCCGGAGGUUGAGGCCGCCGGCGCCACCCUCCUCGUCUCCGCCACCGCCACCCACAAGGCGUACGUCCCUUCUGUUUCCUCAUACAUCAUGCGCCCGCUAUAAUAUGACUAUAUAUGUUGAUCUUGCUAUGGGACUAAGGAUUGAUGGAUGGGUGCAGGAGCUCGGGCGGGAUGGAGAUGGCGGCGGAGAACGGCGGCUGCGGCUGCACCCAGUGCAAGUGCGGCACCAGCUGCGGCUGCUCCUGCUGCAGCUGCUAGAUCUAUCAUCGGUCAUGCAUGCACCGCGCGCAUCAUAUCUAUGAUCUAUCUACAAUCUACUUACCAUGUAACGCCACCUGAUCGAGGGUCUUUGUAUGUAUGUAAGCACCUGCCAGCAUGAGCAGAGCAGGUGCACUGCCAUGCAUGUAAACCGACCCCUAAAUAAAAUCUCCCGUGGUUUAACCUAUACUUGUGUUUGUACUAUCAACUUGCGAGGUGCCUGGGUUGUUACUAGACCAGCUGAAUGCUCUCUUGAAGCAACGUAUGCACCGCUUGGAAUCGGU
rnacentral:lncRNA from 1 species